AUGAAGAUGAUGUUCAAGAACUACAUUAUCUUAAAGCCGUAGUGAAGGAGACAAUGAGAUUGCAACCUACAGUGCCGUUACUACUUCCAAGAGAAGCAAUUCAAAAGUGCAUAGUAGAAGGGUAUGAAAUACCAGCUAAAACACGUGUUUUUGUAAAUGCAUGGGCGAUAGGGAGAGAUCCUGAAGCUUGGCAGAAUCCUGAGGAAUUUUAUCCGGAGAGAUUUGUUGAUAGUUGUAUUGACUUUAAAGGGCAAAACUUUGAGUUAAUACCGUUUGGUGCUGGCAGAAGAAUUUGUCCUGGGUUGAAUAUGGGAAUUGUAACUGUGGAGCUUGCACUUGCUAAUCUUCUUUACAAAUUUGAUUGGGAAAUGCCGCCUGGAUUGAAGAGCCAUGACUUUGAUGUUCUGCCCGGACUUGCCAUGCAUAAGAAGAACGUUCUUUCUCUUCGGGCUAAGUAUCAUGUUGAGUAGGUAAAUUAAGGCACCUCCAUCAAUAAGAAGGUAAAUUAAGGCACCUCCAUUAAUAAGGGUUUGAUCUAGCUAAAGGAAAUAUAUGUUAUGCGUCCUCAAUUGUGCUUCUCAAUGUUUUCUUUCUUUCUUCUUAUGUAUAAUGGAUGUUUACGCGAAUGGUUUUUAGUAAGUAAUUUUCUUUUAGUUCAAAAUUUUGGGAGGUAAGGGCUAGAAGAUAAUAGGGACUCUGCCCACUCUCUUAUACCUUUAAAAAAAUGAUAUGAAUGUGAGUAUCAAUUUAUCACAUUUAUUUUGUCUUACAUUUUUCUCUCUCCAAUUUCAAAUUAUAAAUGUAUAUAUAAAUACACGAAACGACCAAUCAAUAUUAUUUACUUGAUAUAACUAAUAAGUAAAUUCAUGGCUUUUUCUAUCACCCCUUUUUUUGUUAGGAGUAUCAGUAAAAUCAGCUCUGUAAUGCUCUACAUCUUUACCGUGAAAGCUGCAUUUUUAUGGAAUCAGCUUACAGUUAUGUACUAACCAAAAAAAAAGAAAAAGAAUAUUACAUCAAUUCUUCAUUGAGAUUUGAGACAUUUUCUUCCUCCAGAAAGUAUACAAGUUAAAAAAACUACACAUCAUUGUGAUUUCAUAACAGCAUCAUCCAUCACUUUCCUAUGAGCUUUUUAUGAGGCCGGAGGCUAAAGCACAAUCAGUUGAGCUGUUAUUGCAUUUCCCACAGCAAGACUGUGGCAAAUCAGUUGACUUUUGACGUUAAAUGGUGGUUUCGGCUUGCAGUCACUUGUGUUUGUUCAAUUUCAAUAAAGGAAAUUUCAUUUUUGUUAAAAUCCAUGAAUAUUAAUUACUACCUUGUUCGCUGUUCAGUAAAACUAAAACAACACCAAAACUUAAAUAUUUUCGCUAUAUCACAAACUUAAAUAUUUUUUUUUUCCCCCUAUACAUCCCUAGUAAGGUUGACAGAAAAAAACCAAAUUUCAAUCGGUAUUGGGAUCCCCUCCCGAAUGAUAGGGGAUUUGGCACUAAUUUUUAAAAUCGAUUCGAUACUAAUUUUAACAAACACUUGCUUUAAACCAACUUAUUCUUCUACCACAUAAUUUACUUAACUUUCAUUACAUGAAAAAUAGUCAUUUUUUUUACCUAACUUGUUCGACAAUAGUUAAAUAUGUUGGUGAGAGGGCAGUUUUCAAUUGUAAAAAUCAAGACAUCGAGAAAAACUAAAAUGGCUAUUUGGUUUUUCUAAUGAAAAACUAAAACAACUAUAUGGUUUAGCGUGAAAUUUUAGCUUCAUUGGUAUUUAUGACGAUUGUAACUAACCAUUAAAAAUGCAUAAUUAUUUUCUACCUGUAGUGAUUUAGGUGCUGUAGAAUUCGAUUAGCAACCUAAGCACUGCCCAAGAUCACAAACCAGAUCCACUAGAUGCUAAGAACCCAAACAAUCAAGCUUUAAGUUUCAACAAAACCUUUAACGAAAAUGGCUUAAUCAGAACACACUCAGAACAAGAAUUAGAAACCAAUCACACCCAAAAGAAAGAGAAAUAUUUACGUGGUUCGAUUGUGCAAAGAAGCACAAUCUACAUCCACGGGAGAAGCCCACAGAGCAAGCUUUAUUGAUGAUUCAAGUAAUCUUUACAGAGCAAUACAAGAGCUAACUACUAGGAUCAAGACGAAGCUUUCUCUCUAUCUUAACUCUCUCUAUCACGCUCUCAGAUCAUCCAUGAAACUGCUUCUUUAACCAGCUUAUAUAGCAGCUGAUAAAGAACCCAGAAGUUGCAGAUUUCCGCCACCUGGACUAACAGCUUCUAACUGAUUUGAUUCUCCACCCCCCGUGCACUUCACAUGUUUCACUUAAGCCUUUUGCCGAAACGUCUCCAGCUCCUGCCGUUUUGAACUUAAGUGAAUCACAUGCCAUGCUCGUGACUCCUGAGUAUAUUAAACAUAUUCCAAACGUUGUCGUUUAACAUGCUCAAGUUUUGGAUUCAACAUUUUAGUCCACACUACCGUUUCAAAAACAUAGUCGAAAAUAAAAUAAUAUUUUCAAUUAUUGUAAUUUUUAAUCAAAAAUAGGAAAAUAUUUUUAAACGUAACUAGGAGUUGGUUGAAAAAACCAUUAAAAAGAUAUAAAAUUUUAACAGACAACAUGGGCACCAAUAAUGUUUUUCACUACUAUAACUUGCAAGGUUGGUCAAAGCAAAAGCUGUAAGGGUAAGUAAAUAUAAUAUAAAAUUAUAUAUCAUCUAAAAGAAAAGUAAUUGUACGUUUUUUUUUCUUAGUUUACUAUUUUUUUUAUCAAACAUGAACUAGAUAAUUAAAUAAUUAAUUAAUUAAUGUAUUUUUUUUAUAGAAUUAAUUAAUGUACUUAAUUGAAAAUAAAAUUAACUUCUACGAUGCAAACAGAAUUUGAGCCCUCAACUGAAAAGAUAAAAUAUGAAAGUGCCUACCACUGGAGCAAGAAAUAAUUUUCAGUAAAUUAUAAAUUAAAUAAUUAUGAAAGGAUUGAUUUUUUCUAAAGGUUUUACUAGGUGCAACAAUGGAAUUGAAUUACCUUAUUUAACUUAGAAGAUAUUGAUUGAUUACAGCAUAGAUAUAAUGUAUGAUAUCUUAAAUUAAACAUCAAUUAACUUCGAAAUUAUAUUGUAGUUCAAAUAAACUCGAUAAUAUUUAUGAUCACAUUCUAUCUUAUACACAAACUUGAAACUUAUGUUAUUGAUUAAGUCUCAACUAUUUUAAUCAUUAUCAUUGAAUCAAUUUAGAAAUUGAUUAUCGAACUAGCUGGUAUUUUAUAGUUAAGUAUUUAAAGAAAUAAUGUCUAUGAUUGAUCAUAAUUAUUGUUGAAUCAAUUUGGAGACUAGCUAAUUUUCAAAUUAAUGUAAUUAUCUAGUGGUCAAUUUCAAUAAAUAGAGUCUAAUAGUUUUCAUAGUUGUAUUAUACUCAUAAUUGUGGAACAUGGAACGUAUACUUCAUACUUAAAACUUAUUGCAUAUAUUAAAAAAAAUAGAUGAUUAGUAAUUAACAUUUAAUUAUAGUUGAAAUAUUAAUUAUUAAAUUAGUCUAAUUGUCUAAGAACAGUCAUACAAUUAAUUUCAAUAGAUAACAAGAACUAUUGCAAUAAUUUUUUUAUAUUUUAAAACAUAUCUCAACUAUGAAUUAUUAAAACUAAUAUAGCUUCAUAGUUUUUAGGCCAAUAUCUAUUUUCAUCUUUUGUUUAUCUUAUUAAUUUAAAUUUAAAAUCUAUGUUAAAUAAUAAAGAUGUUCUAUCAAUCAAUUUAGGCUAUAGAUUAAUUAAACAAUCUAGUAAUCACAUAAUAGGUAUUACAUAUAAUUGUUCAAUUAUAAUAAACUUUAAAUUUGCAUUAAUGAGAUAAGAAGUUUUGUUUUGCAAUUAAUCGAAUCGUAUGCUAAUAAUUUUCAAUAUUUAUUAUUAUUUCAAUAUUUAUUAGUAUGAAAUAACUAACUUAGGAUAAAUAAAUUGAUUGAUUGAUUUUUUCUUAAAUUUUAAUAUCUUGUAUUAUCUCUAUUAACUAUUUGGUCCACUGCCACCUAACUAAAGUUUUUAGUGCAAGUGUAUGUGUACCUAUUCUCCACUCUCUCUAACAAAUAUCUCAAUUAGCCACCGAAUCAAAUCUAAUAAUAGAAUAAAUAAAUAAAAGCCACCGAUAUUAAGCGCAACGGAUGAAUUCAUCUCCUCUUCUUUUGUAUAUUCUCUCCAAAGCUUUCAACUCUAUUUUGGGGUCAUUUUCUUAAUUUUUUUUAAUUAAACUAUAUAGAAACUGGGGAGAUGUUUUCAGAUAUUUAUUAAUUUUUAUCCUUCACCUUUAAUUUCUUAAGUUUGACAUCAGUUAUUGUUGGCCUCACUCUCACAUGGUUGGUUUGAAGCUUUUCUAUCAUGUAGUUCGGUGAAAAUUAUUUGAUUAAUCGUGACUUGCAGGUAAGAAUUAUAUUAUUAUUUUGUGUUAUGUUUUUAAUUUAUUAGAUUUUAAUUCACAAUUUAUUUGAUAACAAGUGAAAGAGAUGUUAAUUAGGAUAGAUUCAUUUUCUUGUUUAGUAUAUAGGAUUUUCUACUUUAAUUUAAUUGUAUCUUAAUAUUUUUUUUAUUGUUAUCAAGGGAAUUAAGAGCCUAGGAAGAAAAAAUUAUGAUAUUCAACUUUCAUAAGGAUUCAGUUGCUCAAUCCACAUUGAUUCUAUCUUUUAUCAACAGCAAAAUAUCAUUGCAAGAGUGCCAUGUAGCCUUUGGUGUAUUUUAUUUUAUUUAAAUAUUUGUCAUGGAUUCAAUGAUUAAUACGUAUUUAUUUUAUCUUUUAGUAGCAUUAAGUUAUUGUAAUAGCAUCAUGUAGCUUUAAGUCAUUGUAAUGGUGUCUUGUAGCACUUGUACUUUGUUUGAGUUGCACAUGUAUUUGUUGAAAUUAUUUAUAAAAGGAUAUUUGUCGAUUGAUUCAUUGAUUUUUUUCUCCUGAGGCAAUUAAUAAAACCAUUUUCAGCCAUAUAUAUUUGUCUACUAAUUCAUCAUUUUUUUUCCUAGAGGCGAUUAAUAAAAUGAUUAUUUUAACGAUGAAGUAGAAUCAAAUGAAUUUCAAUAAUCAUCUUCUUGGAAAUACUAAGAUUCAAUUAGAACUAAUAUUUAUUCGACUAUAAUUUAUUUUUUCCAACUGUUUUUACCCCUAAAAAAUAGUGUAUUUUUAAUGGUAAUUAGUUAGUUGAAAUUGAUAUUGCAAAUACAACUGCUAUCGAAAAUACUCUUUUUUACUACUUAAGGUGGUCAUAAAUAUCAGUCAUUAGUCACAUGUCCAUAUUAAUUUUCAAUCUAUAUUUAUGUAUUUAUGAUUGUCAAUUUCGCACCAAAUAAGCAUAUUUACGGCGGCCAAUCGGUAAAAGUGUGUUUCUAACCUGGGUAUUAGCGAUUACCAGCGACUGAUUAAGGCCAUUGGAAAAACAUAUUUUCAACAGUAUAGCACUUGUUUCAACUGCAUUCAGCAGUUAUAAAAAGUUAUUUUUCUUGUAGUAUAUUUAUACCGCACAUUUUGACUACCACUAAUUUAAGUUGCCUGAUGAACAUAUUUACCACACAUAAAAACUAAAAUAUCUGAGAUAUUUCUUUAGAUAUUUCUAUAGAUAUUUUAACAUUUUAGAUUACAAUAUUUUUCAACACUUGAUUUAAUCACCAAUCGUUGACUAUGAUGACGACAAAAAAUCUAUUUCAUUGUGCUAACCUCACAAGUGAAAAGGACUCCACAAGAGUACAAAACAGAGCCUUGAUCUAAUAAUAUUACCGAAUAUAGCAUUUUGUUUCCUUAUAAAUGGAGAGAGGUUCUGUCUUUGCACUGCAUAACAGAUAUUAAUGGCUUUACUUAUCGUCAUCAACUUCCUUAUGUGUCUCUCAAUCUUCGUCAUCUUCUUUGUUUUGACAUCAAUUUUGUUGGCCUCACCCUUGGCUGAAAGCUUUUUCUGUCAUGUAGAACGGUGAAAAUUAUUUGAUUAAUUGUGGCUCGUAGGUAAGAAUAAUUAUUGUUUUUUGUGUUCAUGUUUUUAAUUUAUUGGAUUUUAAUUCACAAUUUAUUUUAUAACAACUGAAAGAGAUUUUAUUUAGGAUAGAUUCAUUUUCUUGUUUAGUAUAUAGGAAUUUCUACUUUAAUUUAAUUGUAUCGUAAUUUUUUUUUUAUAUAUAUUGUUAUGCGGUGAAUCAAGAGACCUAGGAAGAAAAAAUUAUGGUAUUCAACUUUCAUAAGGAUUCAAUUGCUCAGUCCAUAUUAAUUCUAUCUUUUAUCAACACCAAAAUAUCAUUGCAAGAGUGCCGUGUAGCUUUUGGUGUAUUAUUUUUUAUUUAAGUAUUUGUCAAAGAUUCAAUGACUAAUACAUAUUUAUUUUAUCUUUUAGCAAUAUUAAGUCAUUGUAGUAGUAUUGUGCAAUAGGGAUGACAAAACCCCGGGCCGGGUCCGGGUAUUGCAAUGACCGGACCCUACCCGGAUGCAACCGGUCCGGGUCCAGGUCUGGGCCGGGUUUUAAUCCGAGUACCCGAAUUUUAUAUUUUUUAAUAUUAUAUGUGUAUAUAUUUUUUAUUUUUUGGUAAUUUUAUAAGUUUUAAAUUUAUUUCAAUAAAAUUUGACAUGAAAAUAUAAACUUUAAGUGUUUAAAACUUUAUAUAUGUAUAAUAAAUUAGUCAAAUAAAUAUAAAUAUUUAAAAUAAUAUAUAUUUUAUAAUAUUUUUGUAAUAAAAUCCGGGUUCUGGGUUUAUCAAGUGAUGUCCAAGACCGACCCGGCUUCAUACCCGGCCCAUAACGCCCGGGUACGGUUCGGGUCCAGACCGGGCGGGUAUUUUUGCCACCUCUAUCUUACAUCUUUAAGUCAUUGUAGUAGUGUGGUGUAGGAUUUGUAUUUUGUUUAAGUUGCACAUGUAUUUGUUGAAAUUAUUUAUAAAAGAAUAUUAUUCCACUAAUCCAUUGAUUUUUCUUUUUUCUAUGGGGCAAUUAAUAAAAUCAAUUUGGGCCAUAUAUUUGUCAAUUAAUUCAUUGAUCAUUUUCCUAGGGGUCCAGCUACCUUGCGUCAUGGGUUUGGUACCGCAGUUGUUUGUCUCUUAGCGAAUGACCCUUUAGAUUGUACUGAAUGCAUUCUGCACUAUGGUCCAAUAAUUCUCUUUCAAAUACACUUAGGUCCCCAAAUCAAUAGCUCAAUUCUUCACAUUCAAUUUAAAGCUUUUUUUAACUUCAUUAUCAUUUAUUUAUCAAACAUCACAUACCUGAUGCAGAUCCACCAGGUGUUGAGUUUCUACCAGCAUUCACUCUUGAGCUUGAUGUUGUUUCCAAGUUCUUGCAACGCUUCUGCUUGGCACAGAGAAGUAAAUUUUGUAAGUAAGUACACUCAAUCAAAUACUUCAUACUUAACAUUGAUUGCAUAUAUUAAAAAAAAUGUUAGAUGAUUAGUAAUUAACAUUUAAUUAUAGUUGAAAUAUUGUUUAUUAAAUUAGUCUAAUUGUCUAAGAACGGUCAUACAAUUAAUUUCAACAUAUAAAAAAACUAUUGCAAUAAUUUAUUUAUAUUUUGAAACAUAGCUCAACUAUGAAUUAUUAAAACUAAUAUAGCUUCACAGUUUUUGCAUCAAUAUCUCUUUUCAUCUUUCGCUUAUCUUAUCAAUUUAAAUUUAAAAUCUAUGUUAAAGAUGUUCUGUCAAUCAAUUUAGGCUAGAGAUUAAUUAAACAAUCUAGUAAGCACAUAAUAGGUAUUAUUAUUAAUUGUUCAAUUAUAAUAAACUUUCAAAUUGCAUUAAUGUGAUAAGAAGUUAUAUUUUGCAAUUAAUCGAAUCAUAUGCUAAUAAUUUGCAAUAUUUAUCAGUAUGAAAUAACUAACUUAGAAUAAAUUAAUUAAUUGAUUGAUUUUUUCUUAAAUUUGAAUAUCUUGUAUUAUCUCUAGUAACUGUUUGGUCCACUUAAUUACUAAAAUCCCACCUAACUAAAGUUUUUUGUGCAAAUGUAUAUUUACCGUAACCCACGUUCUCCAUGCUCUCUAACAAAUCUCUCAAUUAGCCACCGAAUCAUAUCCAUUAAUAGAAUAAAAAUAAAAGCCACCGAUAUUAAGCACAAUGGAUGAAUUCAUCUCUACUUCUUUUGUAUAUUCUCUCUAAAGCUUCAAACUCUAUUUUAGGGUUAUUUUCUUAAUUCUUUUGAAUCAAGCUAUAUAGAAUCUGGGGAGAUGUUUUCAAAUAUUUAUUGAAACGACCCGCCCCGAAUCAACCCAGACGAGUUUAUCUAGUCUCAUCAAAACGGACUUGAUAAUAAUUUUAUUCGUAAAGAUUCUGCCGAAAAUUCGGCAGAGUCUCCUUUAUAUAUAUAACACUCCCAAUCUACAAAUAUGAAUAUAACACUCUCAAUACAAGUCAAUAUACAACAAACUCUAGUGCUCAACAUCCUCAACCAAAAUGCUGAGUUUUAUAUCUCCAGAGUCUCAAAAGAUAAUAUUAUAACUAAUAUUAAUAUCUCAAUUUAUUCUUAAUCCCAAAAAGAAUAAUAUAACAAAAGUAUACAAUCCCAAAAGAACAAGAUGACCAAGAUAUCCUAACAAAAACAUUUAUAUCUUCUAACACCAUCACGUGACCAAGACUCAAAAUAUAUUUACAGUCGCUGGGUCGGUCUGGUGUACCUGCAACCUCCUGGUGAGGGGGGAAAAAUAUAAUAAAAACGGGAUGAGUCUAAAACUCAGUGAGAUCAGUGAGUGGAUAGUAGUUUUGAAAAUUAAUUCUUACUUUAAAAGAAAUAAUCAUAUCAUUUCCAAACAUGAUUGCACUAAACCAUAAGCGAGAAACCAGAAAUAAAUAAUUAAACAUUUAAAUCAGAUUACUAACCAUGGAAAUCAUAUCACAAUAUCAUAUAGAAUUCACAAAUCUGAAAAUCAUCACCAAACAAGUACCCAGGGAAAUAAUCUCGUCAUAUCCGGACCUCAACGGACGAGCAAUGACGUACUAUCUGGGUAACGUCACGCCCCGGAGCUACACGGAUAGACAGGGAAAUACCAUCUCAUAUCUCAUCAUAUCCGUGCAUGCAUAAUCUAGUCCCCAAAUGACAAAAACACCCAAGCACAUGGCCCAAAGCCUAUGUGUGUACUCAGACGGGCCCCAAAGGCCUGUAUCUCAUCUGUAUCAUUUGUAUCUCAAUAUCUGUUUGUAUCUUAUAUCUGUAUCUCUGUAAUCAUCAUACCGCAUGCAUAUGCCCCCAAAAGGCAAAAACGCCCAAACACAUGGCCCAAAGCCUCUAUGUGUGUUCAGACGGGCCCCAAAGGCCUCUCAUCUCAUAUCACCUGUAUUACUGUAUCUGGAGGAGAAGGAUACUGUCUAAUGAUUUCAAAAACAAUCAUUAUACUCAUAUUCACAUACCUUUUAAUCAUACUUUAAAUCAUACCACAUUCAAAUCCACUUUUCUUAUCUUUAAAAUAUUAUCAUGCUUUAUUCAAAGUCGAUACGCAAAAUCAAUAACCAAACAUUUUAAUAAAAUACCAAUGCGUGAAUAAAAAUCCAUUUCGAGGAAAUCAUUAAAUCAGAACAUUUAAAAUACUUAUUUCACAAACAUGCAUUACUAUCAUAAUUAACUAUGAAAAUAGGUUUUGUAUAUUCCACUCACAGUGACGGUGUUCACGGUCGGUUAUCGUCCACGUCCGCGGACCGGUUCUCGCUCGCGGAUCCUCCUAAAUCAAGGAAACGACAUAAUUAUUUUCCGUAAAUCGGAAUUACGGCUAAAUUUAUGCAAUAAACUCGAAACGAACAUCUAUCCAUAAUUGACAACUCCCGUGUCCAUAAAAUUACUAAAAUGCCCUUGAGUCCGUAAAUCAUUAACACAUACUCUGAAAUUGUACAACACCGAAUUACCCUCGGAAUCGUAAUUACACCCACUCCUCAAUUCUAGGAAUUACUAAAAUAUCCACAGGCUCAGAAAUUACAAAAUUGCUCUCAUAGUGUGAAAUUACCAAAAUGCCCUUGCCGGUCAACGGUCACAGGAAUUUGGUCAACGCUGGUUAGGAAGCUCAAAUCUGAAAGUUCAAAUCACGCUGAGUUCAAUGGUACCGGCGGUGAGCUCCAUGCGCGGCAACGGCGCCGGAAUCGAGCUCGACAGCCGUGAAUUCCAACAAUCGACCGGCGGCAAAAUAGUGACUCUCGGUGCCUAUGGAUGGUCGGAAAUGGAAGAGGGAGUCGUGGGGAACAAGAUCCAACCGGUGGUGUCACCCAAAACCGGCGAAAAUCCCGGCGGAGUAAAGUGAAACAAUCGCGGGUUCAAGCUUCAAUUGCCGGCGUUCCGGUUGGUUUUCGGCGGCGAGGAUGGCACGGGAACGACGGUCGGCUUCUAAGCUUCAGAUUGGUACCAAGCUCGGCUGAAACGGUGGCCGGAAAUGGGAGAUAUGGUCGGGUCAAGGUCGCCGGUUCCGGGUCGAGUUUUCGGGUCCGUAGUUGGAUCGGUUUGGCAGUUUCCCUUCACUCUCUCUCACACGUGCAUGUUUUUACCCUGUUUCCAGCUUAUUCUUUUACUUAUAAACUCCUUAACCGCCUCAUUUUCAUUUUGAAAUUCACAUAUGUUACAUUUAUUACCUUUUGUCCUUCACCUUUAAUUUCUUAAGUUUGACAUCAGUUUUGUUGGCCUCACCCUUGGCUGAAAGCUUUUUCCGUCACGUAGAUCGGUGAAAAUGAUUUGAUUAAUUGUGGCUCGUAGGUAAGAAUAAUUGAUGGUUGUCGAAGUCAGUAAAAAUAAAUACUUACUCUAAAUAAAUUGUGUAUAGUGAUUGAGCAGGGUCGUGUCCACAGAGAUCGGUAAUAUUUAAAUCUUUUUUAAAAUGUAAAUUGCAAAAUGGGGGGAUUGUUGAUAAUAAUAAAAAUCAAAUUAAAAUUGGGAAAAGCUUUAGUUGAAGGAAUUAACUCAGCUUGAUUCGACUACUGAUCAUUAAUUCAAAUAUAAAUCAUUACUACUUAUGAAUAGACCGGUUAUAGCUACUGAGACCCUCUAAUAGCUAAUCUCUCAUUAACUAGUCGAUAACCAAGGUACGACCAUUGGUUAUUUCCCUAAUCAAUAGAUAACCCUAGAUACGAUCAUAAAAUUUAAUCAAUUGACAGCCUGAAAAAUCAGAGAGACCCAAAUCCUAAUCAACAAACGCAUACGAUGGUUCAUUUAAAUUAGAUUGUUUAUUCUCAUAACACAACGCACUACUAUGCUAUUUGUCACAAAUAUUAAAAUCUUCAUACGAUGAAUCCUUUAAUUGACAAUAGAUUAAGUUGAUAAUUAAAUAGUGGCCAAUUAUCUAAUUAACAAACAUAAUCAUGACAAUAAUUUAGAGAAUAAACAAAUACCCAAAAAGUAAUAAAAUAAUUAAAGCAUAAGAAAGAUCUCACAGUAAUGAUGAAUCAAAGCUUCAUUAAUCUUCAACCAGAAUAAUAGGUUUAGUUAUUCACAGAGAAAAGAGAAAAAUUUAGAUCUAGGGUUUUUUUUUUACAAUAGAUUCCCCCCUUUAAUUCUCUCUCCCCUCUUCUCCUCUAGAGUUCUUUUUAAAAUAAAAUACUAAUAUCUAUUAUCUAAAUAUUAAAUUCGGAAUUACAAAAAUAACCAAAAAGAUAAAACACGUUAAACUAAUAACUGCAGAUCCGUAGUUGACAAUACGCGUCCACGCCUUAUCAACAAAGUUCUUCUGAAGCUCAUAAUUUCUCCAGGAAAACAAUCAUCCUAAAAAAUCAUCUUGUAGCUCAACUUUAUUACCAAUCAAUAGAAUUACACCUACAGAAAUAAAACACAAGUAAAUCACUAUUAUUAAGUGCAAAACAUCGAUAUUAAAGAAAGUAAACAAUGCAAAACUAGAGCAUAAAUUGCACUCUAACAAUAAUUAUUGUUUUUUUGUGUUCAUGUUUUUAAUUUAUUGGAUUUAGUUCACAAUUUAUUUUACAACAACUGAAAUAGAUGUUAAUUAGGAUAGAUUCAUUUUCUUGUUUAGUAUAUAGAAUUUUCUACUUUAAUUUAAUUGUAUCUUAAUUUUUUUUUUUGUUUAUAUAUUGUUAUGCAGUGAAUCAAGAGACCUAGGAAGAAAAAAUUAUGGUAUUCAACUUUCAUAAGGAUUCAAUUGCUCAGUCCACAUUAAUUCUAUCUUUUGUCAACACCAAAAUAUCAUUGGAAAGAGUGCCGCGUAGCUUUUGGUGUAUUAUCUUUUAUUUAAUUUUUUGUCAAGGAUUCAAUGACUAAUACAUAUUUAUUUUAUCUUUUAGCAACAUUAAGUCAUUGUAGUAGCAUCAUGCGGCUUUAAGUCAUUGUAGUAGUGUCGUGUAGGAUUUGUAUUUUGUUUAAGUUGCACAUGUGUUUGUUGAAAUUAUUUAUAAAAGAAUAUUAUUCCACUAAUCCAUUGAUUUUUCUUUUUUCCAUGGGGCAAUUAAUAAAAUCAAUUUGGGCCAUAUAUUUGUCAAUUAAUUCACUGAUCAUUUUCCUAGAGGGGAUUAAUAAAAUGAUAAUUUUAACGAUGAAGUAGAAUAAAAUGAGUUUCAAUAAUCAUUUUCUUCGAAAUACUAAAAUUUAAUUAGAAAUAUAAAUUUUUUCAAACUAAAAUAACAUAUUUUCAAUUGCAUAACCAAUUAGAACUAAUAUUUUUCCGAUUUUUUUUCAUCUGUUUUUACCCCUAGAAAAUAGUGUAUUUUUAAGAGUAAUCAGUUAGUUGAAAUUGAUAUUGCAAAUACAACCGCAAUCGAGAAUUCUCUCCUUUACUACUUAAACUAGAAAAUAGAACCGCGUUUCACGCGGCUUUGAAAAAAUUUAGUAUUAUCUUUUUUUCUUACUUUACACUUGAUGAAAUUGAUAAAAAAUAUGAAUUGAUUUUUUUUUUAAGAUGAGGCGGCCUUAUAAAAAAUAAAAAAAGAUAUUAGCCAGCAAUACAAAUAAAGAAGCAACGCAAGAUAAAGAAUAAAAUGAGAUAAUAUAUUAUAGAGUGAUUUUAUUCAUUCUAAUUGUGUGUGUACAAAAUAAAAAGAUGAGCUCUCCUUUUUAUAGUUACAUAAUCACUCCAUGAAAUUAAUGAAAAAUUAUGGAUCAUAAUUCAUUGUGAGAUAGUGGGAGUUAUAGGGAAGCUAAAGGUUGCUAAUGGGAGAUAGUGGGGAGACUAAGAGAUAUAUGUUAUGAACAUCUACAUUUAUUUUAAUAAAUUCAUAACACUCCCCCUUGGAUGUUCAUUACAAAGAAUAUGCCUCAUUAAAAUCUUUACAUAAUUGUUAUUGUGUAAUAACAAUCAAAUUAAUUAUGAAAAGAUGAAAAGCCAAAUCUAAAAGAAAAUUUAUCUAUUUAUUAGAUAAUAGAGAAUAUACAAAGAUGAGAAAUUGUGAUGCCACAUCACCUCCUCAAAUCCCAACUUUAUAUAUAUAUAUAGAUUGGUCAUGAAUAUGAGUCCUCAGUCACAUGUCCAUAUUAAUUUUGAGAAAUUUAUAAAAAUGACCAUAGAACUUUUACGUUUUUCAACUUUAACCCCCCAAAAUUUUUUCUAUCAUAACUAGCCAAAUAUCUUAUUUUUGGACUAGAUUACCCUCAUCACUUUCAUCAAAUUCACAAAGGUAUGCCACUUUUUCAAUUCCAGCACCACUAAAUACGAAUCUUCCUCAACAACUUAACAAACCUUCAUCACUCUCAACAAACUUCAUCACUCUCAAUAAAUCAACAAAUUCCAUCAAACAAACAUUGCAUAAUUGAAGAUACAAUCAUCAAUUGGAGAGCUUCUUAAAAUUAGUUUAUGCUCUUACACAAUGUAAACCUUUAAUCUAUUGAUUUUAUCAACUAAGUUCGAAAUUAAAGUGGGUUUUGUUGCAAAUGUUGUUAUUUUUCAUUCAUAAAACAAUGUGAUUUGUUAAAGUACUUAGUUUGAGUUGAGAAAUGAAGAAAAAUCAUUAAAAAUACAGAAAAAUCGGGCAAAAAAUGAAGUCCAAAACAAGUGAGACAAGCAGUGAGACAUGUGUCUGUCUCACAUAAACCCACUGAUUUUAUGGAAUAUAUGAUUUUGGAUUUGAUUUGUCUCGUCGUAAGCUUCGAAACGGUAUAAUUAUUACAAUAUUUUGGCUCACUACUCCGAACCCCAAUACACAUAAUCUCUCAAAUCACUAGAACAAGAGCUUUUAUUAUUUAAGCUCUACAAAACUCUCUGCUCUACAGGAAAUGCUUCUCACAAAAUUGGAUGCAGAAAUGAGGAGGAGGAACCUCUUUUUAUACCAAAACUUGGCUACUGUUCAUGCUUUAUUUAAUUAUUAUUUUUUUUCUUCUUCCUUUUCGGUCCGGCAUUCAUUUUUUCUUCCUCUUUUGUCUUCUUUCUUCUUUUCUUUUGUUCCGGUCAAAGAAGCAACCAAUGCAUUCUUCUUCAAAAUCAGUGGGCCCACCUUCUAGAAGGGUGGUGCCCACAUGCCAUUUUCAUCAUUAAAUAGAUGAGGGUUGGAAUAGAAUCUUUUCAAUGUGAAUCAUGAAGGAUCUAUUCAAAAUAAAAGUGAUAAAGAUUAAGAAAGAACUUAAGAAGCUAAGAGCUUUUAGAAGUCUUUGAAGAAAUAAUAUUAAUUUGAAAGGAAAAGAAUUUAAAAUGAAGAAGAAAAAGAUAAUUGAUAAGAAGUAAGACUAACUGUACAUCUGAUUGAGGAACAGGCUUGUUAAUUCAAACUAUUAUAACCAAUUGGGAAUUGAAUUAAGUUAACAGUUAACUCGUAAUUGAAUGUCUAAACUAACAAUGUAUACAAUUACAGAUGAGACUAUAAAAUUGCAAAAAUACUGCUGAUUGUGAAUCAAUUUGAACAUGCCAAUCCUUAGGAAUUCCUUUCAGUAUCAUGGGAUUUAGAUCUCAAUUACCUUUUUUAUUUGAGUACGAUGACAUCCCGAACUAUCAAAAAUACCCACUUGUCCAAACGUGCCUAUGUCCACUUUAUCAUUUAUAUAUGAAAUGUUCUAAUUAAAUGGAGCAAGUCCACAUAAUACAAUCAUUUUCAAUUACCCAGCAUUUGGAAUACAGAUGCUUUGUUUCUUCGUUUUUUUUAUUUUUUGUUCUUUUUUAUUUACUUGAUACAACUAAUAAGUAAACUCAUAGCAUUUUCUAUCACCUCUUUUUUUUUUGGGAGUAUUAGUAAAUCAACUCUGUAAUGCUCUGCCUCUUUACCAUAAAAGCUGCAUUUUAAUGGCAUCAGCUUACAGUUAUGUGUACUAAGUAAAACAAUUCUUUAUUGUGACAUUUUCAUCCUCCAGAAAAUACAUAAAUAAAAUAAAGGAAAUUUUAUUUUUGUUAAAAUCCAUGAAUAUUAAUUACUACCUUGUUCACUGUUCAGUAAAAAUAAAACAACAGUUUUUUUUUUUUUUAAUUUAACAAUAUUGUGUUAGAAUAUACUUCCCAGGUAAGGUUGAUAGAAAAAACCAAAUUUCAAUCAGUAUUGGGAUUCUGUCCCAAAACAAGCACUUACUUAUUACAACUUUUACUAACUUAUUUUUCCACCACACAAUUUACUCAAUUUUUAUUUAUACCACACAAUUUAACUUAUUUUAACUACCACUAACUUAAGUUACUUGGCUAGGGUAAAAUUAUGUUGCAACUGUGGUAUGAUACCACAAUUACAAUCAAUCAUUAAAUUUACAGUUGUACAAUUGUAUUUAUUGGACCUAAUGAUUAAAAGUAACUGUGGUAUCUUGCAACAUAAUUGGACCUACUUUGCUAACAUAUUAUAGAAACCAACAUCCCAGAUUUUUCUUAAGAUAUUUCUACAGAUAUUUUAACAUUUUAGAUUAUAAAUUACUUUUCAACACUUAAUUUAAUCACUGAUUGUUGACGACGACGAAGCCAACAAAUUUGUUUCGUUGUGCUAAUCGGACAAGCGAUAAGGACUUCACAAGAGUACAAAACAGAGCCUCGAUCUAAUAAUAUUACUGAACAUAGCAUUUUUGUUUCCUUAUUAAUGGAUUUGUUUCCUUAUUAAUGGAGAGAAGCAGUUCUGUUUUUGCAGUGAUUAAGCGCAUAGAAGAUAUUAAUGGCUUUACUUAUCAUCAUCAACUUCCUUUUGUGUCUCCCCUUCUUCCUCUUCUUCUUUGCUUUGCAAAGGCUCAUAACCUCAAGAAAUAAUACUAAAUUACCACCCGGCCCCUGGGGCCUUCCCUUAAUCGGUAACUUACACCAGUUUGAUGUCUCAAAGCCUCAAGUGUCAUUUUGGGAGCUGUCACGGAAAUAUGGCCCCCUCAUGUCCUUGCGUCUUGGUUUUGUGCCAUCCCUAGUAGUUUCCUCAGCAAAACUGGCUAAAGAGAUAUUAAAAACCCAUGACCUUCAAUUUUGUAGCAGGCCAGCCUUGGUAGGACAACAAAAGUUAUCUUACAAUGGUCUUGAUUUGGCGUUUUCACCCUAUGAUGGUUAUUGGAGAGAGAUAAGAAAAAUUUGUGUCAUUCAUCUCUUUAACUCUAACAGGGUAGAAAAUUUUCGACCCAUUAGAGAAGAUGAAGUUUCAAGAAUGAUUGAAAAGAUUUCAAAAUCAGUUGCUGCUUCUAAUCCCGUAAACUUAAGCGAGGUAAUGAUGUCUCUUACCAGCACCAUUAUUUGUAGAAUUGGAUUUGGCAAGAGGUAUGAUGACGAUAAAGCAACAAGUGCAAGAAGUAGAUUCCAUGCCCUGCUUAAUGAAACUCAAGCCUUGUUUGUAAGCUUUUUUGUUACAGAUUAUUUUCCUUUCAUGGGCUGGAUUGAUAAGCUCACAGGAAUGAUGCAACGCCUGCAAAAUAACUUCCAAGAACUCGAUAGAUUCUACCAGGAACUCAUCGACGAGCAUUUGGAUCCAAACAGAACAAAAUCAGAAUUGGCGCAACAGGAGGAUAUAAUUGAUGUUUUACUUCAAAUACGAAAAGAUCGUGGAUUUAAAGUUGACUUGACUUUGGACCACAUCAAAGCGGUGCUCAUGGUGAAUAAUUUUAUAAAUAGUUAUAUGUAGACUCGUGCUCAGGCGCAGACUUAAAAUUUUGUGCAGAUACCCAAUUUUACAGUCUUGUAAAAUGGUUUAUAAUGCUGUAAAGUGCCUUUGAUGUCCGCCUGAACAUGAUUAAUUUAAUGUAAUUUUAUUUGCUUUUAACUAAUUUACUAUGUAUGUAUGUAUGUUGUUUGUUUUGCAGAACGUACUCGUUGCUGGAACAGACACGAGUGCAGCAACUGUGGUUUGGGCCAUGACUUACCUAAUGAAGAAUCCUAGAGCAAUGAAAAAAGUUCAACUGGAAAUCAGAUCGUUGAUUGGGUGCAACAAAGGCUUUGUAAAUGAAGAUGAUGUUCAAGAACUGCAUUAUCUUAAAGCGGUAGUGAAGGAGACAAUGAGAUUGCAACCCACAGUACCAUUACUAAUCCCAAGAGAAACAAUUCAAAAGUGCGUAAUAGAUGGGUAUGAAAUACCAGCUAAAACACUUGUCUUUGUAAAUGCAUGGGCGAUAGGAAGAGACCCUGAAGCUUGGGAGAAUCCGGAGGAAUUUUAUCCGGAGAGAUUCGUUGAUAGCUGUAUUGACUUUAAAGGGCAACACUUUGAAUUAAUACCGUUUGGUGCUGGCAGAAGAAUUUGUCCUGGGUUGAAUAUGGGAAUCGCAACUGUGGAUCUCGCACUUGCUAAUCUUCUUUACAAAUUUGAUUGGGAAAUGCCGCCUGGAAUGAAGAGCCAAGACUUGGACUUUGAUGUUCUGCCGGGAAUUACUAUGCAUAAGAAGAAUGCUCUCUCUCUUUCGGCUAAGUAUCAUGAGUAGGUAAAUUAAGGCACCUCGGACAAUAAGAGUUUGAUCUGAACUAAAUAUAUGUUAUAGAGAUUGCAUGUAUGUCCUGAAUUGUGCUUCUCAUGUUUCCUUUCUUUCUUCUUAUGUAUAAUGAAUGUUGAUGUCUAAGUGCCCAUAGGCUGAGUGGUUUUUAAUAAUUAAAUUUCUUUUAGUUCAAAAUUUUGGGAGGUAAGGACUAGAGAAUAAUAGUUACUCUGCUCACUCUCCUAUACUAAAAAAAAAAGGUUGAUAUGAAUGUGAAUAUUAAUCUAGUACGUUCAUUUCAUCUCAUAUUUUUUCUCCUAUAUUUUUUUCUUUAAAUUUAACUUCUAUCACUUAACCUGCUAUCUUUUUAUAUGAUUGGAUAGAGAUUGAAAUUUUUGCUGUUCCAUCUCAAUGUUAAUGCUUAUAUUAUCUUCACACCUUUACUGUAAUUUUUUACUUUUACUAUUAGAUGCUGAUAGGGUCUUUUCUUGGAGAUUGCUUCACAAAAAAAAUUCUGAAAGAAGAUUUUGUUGAUCGGAUAGCAAGCUUAUCCAUAUAGUUUAAUGGAUUAUCUGCAAGAGCUCUUUUUAGUGCGCAUACAGUUGUCCCUUCAUGUUAGCAUAUUCAUUCUGUCGUCAAUGAACUUUUGCAUUUAAAUGGUAUCAGUUCAAGUGAUGAAUGAAUUUUACCUAUUGCCUAUCUUGGACUAAAUUUAAUUUCAAAAAAUGAGCUUCCAGCUUAUGACUUAUACGUAUCUUGCACUUUGGUUUUACGAUCACCAUUGGAUGGAAGAGUGGCUCGAGUUUGUUAAUUGCUUCAGUCCCAGGACUAGUGUUUGGAAACAUAAAAUUUCUCAGUUCAGCAGCUAUAAAUCUGUUUCAUGAUUGUUAUUGCACACUAUUUCCUAUAUUUUUGUCUCCAUGCUCAUACUGAAUUAGUGGUGCAUUUGUCAUCUUUCGCCUCUCAUUAAAAUGUGCUUAUUAUUUUUUAUUUCAAUCGUAGGAUGGGAAGAUUGAUACUGAUUCCAUCUACAAUGGGUUUAAAGACAACGUGAGGUUAAUGUGGGAGCGUUUCUUGUCAUCCCAGCAAAUGUUGACAUAAACAACAGACUGCAAGCUUCCCCUACUCUCUGUUCAUAUUUGCAUUUGUGUGCAUCUUGUACUUGUUGUUGCAGAAAGAUGAAUAUGUAAGAAUAAGAUCGUGUUUGUAUGCAAUGGUCAAAUGUUUUUGCAAAAAAUGUCGUUGCUUGAGUUCCUCAAUUCUCAUUCUGAACUUCAAAUUUUGUACAUUUCUUUAACUUAAUUUUUUUUUUUUCUGUGUAAUAGUAGUAUAAGUUUGGUAUCAAAAUUAAGCUAGUGACAUACUUGGAUCACUUGGGAUCCACUUGCAAAUGUAUUUUGAAGAAAAGUUUUCUCCCCGCCUUUUAUGUAAUCACACCCACCAGUAAUAUGGUAAUUUAUUGAAAGGUCCUUGAUGCCCGGUAAAAGUUAUAAUUAAAUUAAUAAACUUAUCUUUUUAAAUUAAUAAACUCAUCUUUUUGAAUAAGUUCAUCAUUUUGUACGUAUAUUAGUUUUUUUUUUUUAAAUUCCUUUUAUUUCUAAACUAUUGGUUGGAAGCAAAUAUUUCACUGUAAUCUCCUGUCGACCAAAGGAGAUGCCUUUCCCAAAGCAAGAAAAGAAAACACAAAAAGCCCACUUCAAAAACUUGUGCAAGAAGGAGAUGUGAUUACGCUGUCUUUCUGUUUCUUGGUGCGUGUAUAGAUAUAUACAUACACACAUAAGUCUGAGGACCAGCUGGCCAACAGCCCACUAGGAAGCAAUUUUAAAAUUUUUGGUCAGUAUUGUUCUUUAUAUCUUAUGAAUUUUUCCUUCAAUUAUUAUAUUUUCACUCAGUUUUGUUUUUGGGCACGCGUUAUGUGAUUUUCUUUUGAUGAUUUCCGUGGCUUCUUUUUAGCUCUUAUUUUACUGUUUCUACUGGUUAGUUUAGCUACUGUCUACUGAGAUAAAAUUAUUUGCUUGAAUAACUUAAUCUUUUGCUAUUUUAUUACGUUCAGUUUAUAUACAGUUGAUUCAUUGUAACAAAUGUUAUCAUAAAUGAUUCUUGAGUAAUUUCAUUUAUUUACUUUUUCUUCUUUCAUAGUUGGCCUGUACGGUAUCAUUUACUUUUAUCUUUUUUCAAAUUUCUUUUAAUCUACAGAAUGUUUGUUUUAGUCCUGAUCUUGGGUUACUGAAAUGUUUCAUUCCCUUUUCCUAAGUAUUUUUGUUGCUUGUUUAUCGGGCAAUACUGCAACAGUGAUUUUAAUUCACAAAAUUCUGUAAAUACUUAUUAUUCUUAGUGUGGUUUUAAGGUAGAGUGAAGUUAAUAUUAUCAUAAUGGCUUACAUUCCUCCACAUAUGAGGCAUACGAAGGACCCCCAGAGGCCAUCUCCAGUUCCAGAGAUGAUUGUGCCUAAAUUCAACAGAAAAUUAAACUUGGGAUCAUCCAAGCAUAAUGCAGACAUAAGUGGAAAGAUCGUGUAUGCAGAUCCUGCCAUACACAGGUGGUUCAUUUGUGGCUUGGAUAAUGAUAGCAGCAGUCCUUCUGUCCGCUUUGUGGAGUUUUCAGACGACCCUGUUGAGCAUAAAAAAUCGACGACCAUUAAUCUGGCUCGAGGUUACUGAUCUGCAUUUGUAAUUUUAUCUUAAAUAUGUUCUACUUUCUUUCUUUAUUUAUAUCUGGUGCUAACUUUAGUUAUAUUGACAUUUGGAUUUUGGGUUGGUAGAUAACGAUAAAUUGUGUGGGAAUACAUCAAGAAGCCCAUGGGAAUCGAUAGCAGAAAAUGUAUGGCCAGAUGUAUUGAGUGCUUGUAAUAUUGUCAAGAACGAAAUGGAGGAAAAGCCAACAAUGGUUGCUAGAUUUGGCCAUCAUCUUUUCCGUGAGUAUGUGAUCUGGUUCCAUUGCUGUAACAGCUUGAAUUUUUUAUUAGGUCAUUCCUUUUCUUUGGACUUUGAAAUUAAAGCAGCAAAAAUGCAUAUUCAUACUUAAUUCUGACAGAAAUCUUAUGGUCAUAUAAGUGGUGGCAGCUAAAAUUAUGAGCUUUACCAUUAACCCUACCACCAGCUGUGGAUGACUGUAAAUCGGAUCUCUAAACCAGGGACAAAAGUUAAAAUUGCUUUUAAAAGCCAAAGAGGAAAAUGGCAAUUUAUAGUGCAUGCACUUCUUUCAGACUUGUAUCUCAUAGAAGCUUUCAUGGCAUCUGGAAUUUGGCUUUGGCUUUGCGUAGGACAUUUCAAUUGUUGCUGGUGGAAACAAAUAUAUCCAUUGUCUUAGUUUUGCUUGAUUUCCGGUGCAAGAAACAAAUAAAUUUGUUGCCGUGGCCAAGUUUUGUUGUUUGAUAUUUCAUUGGGACAACAAAGUAUACCACUGCUUCGCCUAUUUCUUACAUCUUUGCAUCAUAUAUUUCCAUUCUUCUAUCACAUCUUUGAAGCUUCUACUAGUUCUCAUAUUAGAAGCGCCUCAAAGAAAUAAUUAUUAUAUUAUUCGUCUUAAUGAAGGAGUGACAUACUGAGCUUAGAAAAUGCGAAAGAAGGUCAGGUUGCUGAAUCUGCUUUGAGCCCACUGAGGAGAUGCUUUUACACUGGUGUCCCUCCUACAUACAUGGGAAAAAUUGUAAAUGAAGUUGUGCCAAAAAUUGGGGUUGGUUUUGUAGAGAACAAGGAUAUAUACCAUGUCAAGGUAGUUCUCCUGCAGUCCUGCUAAAUACUUUAGUAGUCAUGACCAAGUUUCUUUUAUCUCUCAAUUAAUUAGCCAUUGAUUCCCCCCCCCCCUUUCUUUUUCUUGUGUAGUUGUCUGAUGGCACACGACAAAUUACGUGCAAAUGUACUGUUAAAGAAGAUCAAAAGCUUCAUCUCUAUAAGGCAAGUCUUUUGCUACUGGCUGAGUAUUAUUUAUGGACAACGGGUCCAAGUUUAUAAGUUGCCUCUUGUGUUAAGGAGACUUUUGCUAGUGGAAACAUUGAAACAAGACUUAUGAUGUUUUGAUUUGAAUGAUAUAAUCUUUUCACUGUGAAUUAUGAAGGAGAUGUCGAAUAUAAGCGAUAGAUAUCAAGAAAGAGACGAAACCUUUGUGUCUCAAAAGAACCUUUUAGAAGUCUCUCCAGGAAUAAUCUCAGUUAAGAGGAAAAGAAUUUAAAAUGAAAAGAAGGAAGAAAAUUCUCAAGAAGUAAGACUAAUUCUACAUCUAAUUGAGGAACAGGCUUGUUAAUUUAACAAGGAAAGCUCCAGUAGCUAUUUAUUAUAAACCAAUUAAAAAUUGAAUUAAAUUAAUAGUUAACUUGUAAUUGAAUGUCUAAUCCAACAAACUAUGCAUAAGAUUACAGACGUAACUAUGUAAUACAAAAAACCUCUGCUUAUUGUAGACCAAAGUGAAUAUGCCAAUAUUUAGGAAUUUCUUUCAGCAUCAUGGGAUUUAGAUCCCUAUAAUCUUUUUUUAUUUUAGUGUAGUGACGUCCGGAAGACCAGAAUUAUCACGUACCUCGUACUAGUCGUUUUAUUUAUUUUGUCUUUUAAAGCGCCACAUUAUUUCCCAUACAGUCAUAAUAUAUCUAUUUUUUGUUUAUUUAUCGUUGCCGUGUGUGGAGUCUCAUCUUGAAUAUGAACAUUUUUCCGGUAGGUCGAACUGAACUCUGUUCGUCACAUGGUAGCAGACAUGUUAUGCGUUCAUAAAAAUCUAGACCUGAGGUUGGCACUAUGUUCAAAGAGUACCUUAUCUGCUCUCUCGGUAAGUCAAUCUGCUCCUCCGUGCAUGUUUUAGCUGGACUUUUAAGUUACGCCUUCUUUUUUCCCCUUUUUAUUUUAUUUGGUCAUUUGCUUGUUGGAAUCAUCAUCAUUACAGAAUGAUGAAGAAAAAUUCAAGACCAGGGGAAAUAAGGAAAUAUUAAACUUAUAGCUUUUGUUUUAUCAUAGAAAGUUUACUUUCAAGGGGUUGAGAAAAAAUUUAUAUAUAUAUAUAUACACACACACAUACACACACACACACACACACACACGACAAGCUUAAAACGGUUAAACAUUAGCAUGCAUGAUCCUUUUCUUCAAAACUGAAACUUUACAAAUGUUAAAAAUAGAAUAACAAAUAAAUUAUUAGAUUUCCAAAAUCAGUUACCGUUAUGCAGGCUUAAAACAAAAGUUAAAUAUAAGCUCUUUUUUUUUUUUUUGGGGGGGGGGGGGGGGGGGGGGCGUGUGUGCCUAUGAGUAGUCCCAGCAAAUGAAUUCUAUGAUCAAACUGAAAUUUUUGAAUUUUCAGGAUGAUGAAAUGAACAGCAUUAGAAUUCUGAUUAAUUCAGCCAUUCCGGAUCCGGAAGUCAAGGGUGGGUUAAGAUGGCCCAUGGGGAAGUCAUAUUCAGGGGAUUACACAAUUGUUGGGGUUUGGCACAAUGAAUUUAAAUCAUAUAAAAGCCCAUCACUAAAGCUUAAGGUAAGAAAUGUUGAUCGAUUUAUUUUCAAGACUGGAACUGGGGAAGCUACGAUUGAGAUUAAUCUAAAGUUGAGAAGACUAGUUUCAGAGAUUCAGGUACUUGCUGCUUUUUGCUUUAACUUUUAUCACAAAACCUACUAUCUUUGUGCAUGAUUACAUGGAUCUUGAAAUUCUUGCUGUUAUGUCAUAAUGUUAAUGCAUAUUUUGUCUUCACGCAUUUCUUACUGAACUUGUGUCUUGAGCUGUAAUUGUAAUUUCCAAUUUUUACUAUUAGAUGGGUAUUUUAUUGGGGAUUUCUUUACUUAAAAAAAAAAUAUGUUUGACAGAGAAUAUUUUAACGAUGAGAUUGCAAUAUUGUAAUAGAUAAUCUUCAGGAACUCUUUUUACCUUUUAGUAGUUAUGCAGUUGCUCCUCUGUGUUAGCUUAUUUAUUCUAUCAUAUGUAACGAAUGACUUUUUACCAAAUUUGAUUUCAAAGCUGAGCUUCCAGCUUAUGACUAAUAUUUGUGUCUUGCACUUUUGUUUUACAAUCACCAUUAGAUGGAAGAGUGCUUAGAGUUAGUUAAUUGAUUCAAUCCCAGGAUUAGUCUUUUGAAACAUAAAAUUUAUCGGCUAAGCUAUAUAAAUCUGUUUCAUGUUUCUUAUCGCACACUAUUUCGUAUGGCUUUGUCUCCAUGCUCAUACAAAAUUAGUGUUGUAUUAGAUGUCUUCUGUCUUUCAUUCACAUGUACUUAUUACUUUUUCUUUCAAUCGUCAGGAUGGGGAGAUUGAUACUGAUUCCAUCUACAAUGGGUUUAACGACAACUUGAGGUUAAUAUGGGACCAUUUCUUGUCAUGGGAGUCAUAACUUUUGACAAAAACAACAGAUUGCAUGCUCUCCCCGCUCGGUUCAUAUUUGCGUUUGUGUGCAUCCUGCAGUUGAAGAUGUAGAAUGAUGUAAAUGCAAGAAUAAGAGCAUGUUCGUAUCCAAUGGUAAAAUGUUUUUGCUAAAAUGUAUGGACUUGUAACAGCUUGUUGCGUGAGUUUCUCAAUCUCCUGAACCUCAAAUUUUGUCCUAUUUUCACCCCGGCUUUUUCCCCCCGUCCUCUGUAAUAGUUAUAUUUGGUAUAAGUUUGGCAGUUCCUGUGUAAAGUGUUUCAUAUUCAUGUGUGGAAUAAAUAUCAACAUCCAGAUACAAGAAAGUUUGAUUUUAUUUGUAAGACCUGUCUCUCAAAGUUAAUCUAGUGACAUGCUUGAAGCACUUGGGAUCCACUAGUUGGAUGUAUUUUUGUUAAGAUUUAUUUAGCAUUUUGUAUGUGUAUCAGUGCCUUUUUUUUUUGUUGUUAAACCGUUGGUUAGAGGGCAAAUAUUUCACAUUAAAGUGGGGUCUGCUUGCCACCAAGGGAGAUGCCUUUCCCAAAGCAAGAAACGAAAACUCAAAAGCCCACUUCAUAACUUGUGUAAGAAGGAGAUGUAAUUGACAUAUGCUGUCCUUUUUCUUGGUGCGUGUAUGUGUGUGUAUACACACUUAAUUCCGAAGAUCAACUGAGCCAACAGCCAAAACUUGAAAGCAAUUUUAAAAUUUUCGGUUAGUAUUGUACUUUAUAUCUUUUGAAUUUCUCUUUAAUUUAUUAUAUUUUCACUUUAGUUUUGUUUCUGGGUACUCUUUAUGGGCCACAAUUAUGGUACCACUGUGGUACCAUACCACAGCUGGAUCCAGCCAUUGGAUCCGGCCUACAGUGGUCCCCAUAGCUGGAUCCAAUGGCUGGAUCCAGCUGUGGUAUGGUACCACAGUGGUACCAUAGCCGGACCCCUCUUUAUGUGCUUUUCUUCGAUGAUUUUGGUGAGCUCAUAUUUUACUGUUUCCACUGGUUAGUUUAGUUAUUGUCUACUAAGAUAAAAUUAUUUGCUUCAAUAACAUAGAGUAUUGAGGUGUUGUAAUUUAAAAUUUUAGAAAAAAAUAUAUUUAUAAAAUAAAAGUUAAUAGUAUGUGGUAAAUAUAAUUUUAAAAUAAUAAUUUUAAUAAAAUUAGUAAAGAUAUAAUAGAUUUUCAUCAUAUAAAAGUAAAAUCAAAUCAACUUAAUUUCUAAACUACAUAAAUUAAUUUUUAUAAAACACUUUAGUGCUGUAACUACCCAACCUCAAUCUAAAGUAUAGCCUUAAUUGUUUGCUAUUUUAUUAUGUGAUUGUAUAUAGAGUUAAUUAAUUGUAUCAAAUGUCAUUAUAAAUGAUGCAUGAGCAAUUUCAUAUUGUUUUUCUUUCCUUCAUUGAUAAUUGGCUUGUCGGAUAUCUUUGAACUUUUUUUUUUCGCCUCAAAGUUCUUUUAGUCUGCAGAAUGUUGGUUUUAGUUUCGAUCUUGGUUACUGCAAUAUUUCAUUCAUUCUUUCUAAGCAUAGUGGGUUCAUUUCACAAAAUUCUGUAAUAAGUACUUAUUGUAGUUUAAGGUAGCGCGAAGUAAUAUUAUCGUAAUGUCUUACAUUCCACCACAUAAGCAGCAGUUUGUAAUCAAGACUGCAGAGAAUCUUGCAGAUAUAUUGACUAAGGUGGUGACGACAAUUAAGUUUGAGCAUUAUCUAAACUUGAUCAAUAUCUUACAAGUUUGAAAAUAGUCAGAGAAGACAGAGACUGGAGGAUGGUUUGUUGAUAGUCGGCUCAGAUUUACUAAAUUUUCGUUAAGGUAGAGAAUUGUUGAAAAAUCAAGCAUGCUUGCAUGAGCUAGCUAGCAUGCAAAUUUCAAGCCCACCAAUGUUCAGCUAGCGUGAUCCAAUUGCAUGUGCUAGCAUGAUCUCUUCGUCAAAAGUCACACCAAAGCCAUUAAAAUUGAAAAUGGCCAAAGUUUUUUUUUCAUGCAUUUAUAUUGUAAGAUUUGCCUAUAAAUAGAGGAGUAGAAUGCAUUUGUAAAGCAUCCCAAUUUGUGAGAAGUAGAGAGCAAUUGCAAGUGAGCUCUUUGAGAGAAUUUGAGAGAGCUUCCACUUGAGUGUUCUAGUUGUUGUGCAAAUUUUAAUGUACUCGCAAGCGCACGAAUCUAUUGUAGUAUAGAUCAAUGGUGACGAGUGUCGAUCCCACGAGGAGGUGGAUUUUAAUUGUGUAUAGAAUUAAUUUUGUAAAUGGGUGGUUGGAUCUGUGGUGGAAAUGAAUUGGAAUAUGCUAAAACUUAAAUUAAAAUGGCGAGAAUAAAUUCUAAAAUUGGAAUUGCAAUGGCGAGAAUAAAUUGAAGAGAAAUGUAUUGAAAUGACGUACUUGGGUAUCUGGAUCCGUAUCAACAUGCAUCAUGGGCUAAAUAAUCCGUAUUAAUGCCAAUUAAAUCAUGAGGGGGGAAUCCACACCUCAUGAACCACGCUCUAAUCAAUAUGGUGCUAAGGGCUUAUCGUGCCAAAUAAUAAUAACCUUAUACUAGAGAGCCGGUGUAACCAAGGCGGUAUCUAGACAAGAUCAGUAUUAUUUGUCGACGAUAAGUCAAAUCAUCCACAAAAACUAGAGGGGAAAAGAAAAUAAAUUUACCAAAUAAAGCCCAUGACACAUGUUGAGACUUCACCUUCAACCCAAGCUUGAAAGGAAAUUAGCUACUCAUAAUUGAACUAGGGGCAAAAUGAAAAUUUAUUAAAAUACGAAGAAAAUACAAGAUGGAGAAGGAAUUACAGAAAAUGGAUCCCAAAAAUGGAUUCAGAGAUAUCAAAUUAGGGGGGGGAGGCCCCUUUUUUAUAGAUACAUGGAGUAAAUCAUGGCCAUCGGAUUAAAAACAGUUUGGACGCUCAGGAUUGCGCCACGUCAUCAGUCAACAGUCCACGGUUUGACCACGCGGAUGAACAGUAACACGGUUUGACCACGCGGAUGAACAGUAACGCGGUUUGGUUGAAAAUAAUCCUGUGUGAUGCAUGCACCGUACGCGAGAUUUUUCGUCCACUGAUAUGCUGCCACGUCACCAUCAACAGUACAUAAGAAUUUUAGUCCAACAGGAUCGUGACACCUCAUCAGUCAAUGCCACAUCAUCGGUCAAUGCCACGUCAUCGAUCCGUCUAUGUGAACAGUGUCGUGAACAGUAACGUAGACAGUACCGUAUACGUGAAUAGUACCGUACAUGUGAAUAGUGCCAUUUUUCUUUUUAUGCCCCUCCUAAGGUUUUCGACCGUCCUGAGUUCAAAAGUGAUGUCCGUUUUGCCAUCUGAUCUCUCCUUUAUUGUGAAAUAACUAUAAUGCCCCUAAAAUACAUAAAAUACUUAAUUAAAAUAAAACACAUGUAAUUAAAUCACAAGAAGGUUAAAUACAUAAAAGUAAGGGUUUUUAAUAAGACUUGAAAUGUAAAAUGACGGUUUUCUCCUUUAUAAAUAUGCAUUUUCUAACACUCAACACACCCCCCAACCAGCUUAUUGCUAGUCCCUAGCAAAUAAAGCGAAAACAAAAUUCAAAUUCAAAAUGAUUUUUUUUUUUUUUUUGAACUACUCGUGUUUAUUCAAUCAGAUUAAUGAUAGCAAUCAAAUAAAAGUAUAAGCAUUAUCUCCAGUCUAAAGCAACAUCACACCCACAUCAACCAUCCACAUGAAUUAGCCCAGUAGACUUUGUUAUAGCUACUUUCAAGAAUGACAUGUCAAACCCCAAAAUCUCACUUGAAGUAGUGACACUCUCACAAAGAAAUUAAAACCCAAUAAACAUAGUCACUCCAAUGAAUGGUAAUUGAGAGAGAAAAUAAUAAAGAAAUGAUAUCACAUGCUCUCACCAAGAUGAAAUAAAUAUGCCCUCAGCUUAGAAAUAAUGCGAUCUCAAGUCAAAUAAAAUGUUAGUCAACCCACUUUAUUUAUCUUUUUUUUUUAUUAUUAUUAUGCAUCACUACAUCUUUUUAGCCCAUAUAACUAGCUUCUACUUCAAACUAUAGUUCCCUAAAAUCAAGAAGGACUUUUAUUAGGACGUAACGUAGGCUAGGGAUAUGGCUAACAAAGAAAGGAAAUAAGGAAAACAAAGUGUAUGUUUGAAAAAAAUGCAGAAUUUUUUUUUUUUUUUUUUUUUUGGAACUUGCAAGGUGGAUUUCACCUAUUAUUGUUAUUUUUAUUCUUUUGAAACAACAACUUUUGUUUUUGUUUUUGUUUUUUUUGUUUUUUUUUUUUGCUUUUAUUUGGCAUAACUUCACUGAACAACAUAAUUAUUUACAUUUUCUCAAACAUAAAUAGGUGAUGGAACUUAAAAGACAUUGGGUAAUACUCCAAAUCGGAGUGGGUCAAGAUGAUAAGUUGACAAAGAAAAGGUUUUUGUUCUUUUUUUUUUUUUUUUUUUUUUUUUUUUUUUUAAGGCUCAAAAGGGGUAACUAUGGAUAUUUAAUAAAAGGGAUGGCUAGAAAGGCUCAAACGGAUCAAAGAUGGCCUUUCUAUCGUCUUUUAGGGCUCUAAAUAAUUAUCCAUAUCUACUAGUUAGAUGGGCCUCCCAAUGUAGCAACACACAUUUUUUUCUUUUUUCUUUUUUUUUUUAAUUUUACCAUAUUUUUUUUUUUUUAAAAGGGUUAACUUAAAAGAAAUCUAGAGAUCGUGUAUAAAAUAAUAAACUGCUAAGCUGUAUAGAGAAUGGGUAAAAGGGUUACUCUCCAAGAAAAUGAUAGGCUCAACUACUCACUUGGCACUUAUUUAUGACAUGUUCAUUCCUUCAAGCAACUCAUAUUUGUCUCCGACAUCAACAUGUAAAGUAGCAAACAUAGCGUAACAUCACUUAAGACCAAAGAUAAUACAAAUACUAAAAUUUGAAAUUAGUCAUGUCAUCCAAUGUUAAAACAAAUAACACAAUUUUUUUUAAACAACAUUCUACCCCCCAACCUAUUCUAAACAUGAAAGGAAAAUAUGCAUGCAGAAAUGUGAAAAUGAUGUAGAAAAAUUAAUUAGAAAAAGAAUUUUUUUUUUUUUUUUUAAACUAAGAAGAUGCGUUUCUAGAGGCACUACACUCCAUAUUCAGCCAUCUUCGACUCAAAAAUUUGAAACUACAUAUUUAUAAAGGAGAAAGAGGAAGAAAACAGGUUUUUUUUUUUUUUUUUUUUAAAACGAUGAAGAUGCGUUUCUAGAGUAACUACACUCCAUAUUCAGCCAUCUUCAACAUAAAAUGUUAGCAACAGUUAGUUUCUACAACAAAAAAUCAGUAAAAACUUAACCAAGAUUCCACAAUUGUCGACUAUUCCCUUCCCCCAACUAGAACGAAACAUUGUCCUCAAUGUUUUAAAGGAAAGAAGUAGAGUUUAGAAGACAUCACCUGGGUGGUGCAACACAGAAGAAAAUAUUUACAAGCGGAGAGUUAAAUCUAAUUUGUACUUCUUACUGCGGCUACUGUUACCAUCAUUAUUUGGUCGCUCCAACACAAAGGUCCAGGGGUCUGGCUCCGGUUUAUAAGCUUGUAACAUAUCAAGUAGCUCAUUAGCAGUGUGAGCACAAAUAAAGAGUUUUUUCACAUUAGAAGGAAUGAAAUAGUUUUUUAUUGCAUGGUUAAGAAAUGCGAUAAAGUCAUCAUAAAAGUUAUUGACAUUUAACAAACCGAUAGGUUUCUGGUGGAUGUGCAGAUGGGCCCAAGAUGCUAGUGUCAUAAGUGCCUCUAGUGUUGCAAGAUCUCCUGGAAGGAAAAUAAAAGCAUCAGCAUGAUUAAGCAUUUCAGUUAUUCUUUCUUGCAUACCUGAGACGACUAACUCUUCUCCAGUUGAUGAGUCAGACGAACUGCCCAAUGGUUUUAGGACUCUUGGGAUGAUGCCUAACACUUGACUUCCUCUGAUAAAAGCUGCUUCUGAGACCAUUUUUGAUAACCCUCGGUUACCUCCUCCAUACACCAAAUGUAAUUUUCUCGCUGCUAUGCUUCGACCAAGAUCUAUGGCUGCCUCAACGAACUCUUUAUGUUUGCCAUAGGUAAAUCCAGAAAGCACACAAAUGUUCUUGAAUUGUCUAUUGGGAGUAGCGGCCAUUGUGAUACUUCUCAAAAAUAAUUUGUGAGUGCUUGACAAAAAAUAGAUCACAUUUAAGAAUCUUGGUGACAGUGGAUCACAGCUGUGAAUGAGGUAACAUGUCAGUGUGAAAUAACGCGUGAAGCACAUGGCUUGCGAGUCAAAAAGGAAACAGUAAAAAGGAAAAAGCAAACAGUAAUAAAAUUAUUAAAGACAAUAAUGCAAACAAUAAAACAACAGUGAAAUGAAAUAAAAUAACAGUAAAGUAAAAUGAUAUUUACACGUAGUUGCGACUGUGGCUCACAUCUUCCUCUGGUUUUACGUCCAGAAACGGCUUGAACGCCCUCUAUGGGUCGAGGAUGGGCUUCCCAUCCAGUUUUCUUAUAAACUGGCAAACAGGGUCGUUUAUAGUCAGAUUCCCGAGACUAUAUCGUGCAUGCUCUUUCUGGAAUAAUGGCCAUAACCGGAGAAUCGCUCCUUGCACAUAUCCACUGGGAUGCGUUUCAAGAGACAAAAGGAUAUCAUCCAAUGACUCCUUAUUCAAGCCAUCCCUAAUGAAUUGAAUCUUAUCUUCCCUGUUAUCAGACACCAUUCCUAAAGAACAUGGGUUUCUAUCGCAACUCAUUCUGGCACACUUAUGACAAGCAACAGAAAUUCUUCGAGCUCGUCGUUUUCUUGCAUAAUUGCCUUUACCACAACCAGGCAUGUAUGCAAUAAAUUUAUGAGGUAACUCACCUGCCAAUCGUACUUUAGCCUCGAUUAACCAACGGAUGUCUGCAGGUAUGUUAUUCCUCAUGAGCAAUCGCAUGCGUUCAGACCGGGCUUUAUAGAUUGUAAGGAGGGCAUUCUGAGGAAGUGAAGGGAAUCGCUUGUGAAGCUUUGCUAAAAUCUCGUUUCUAUCCAUACCUUCGCCUCAGAAUAUCAGUUAUUAUGGGAAACUGAAGUUAACCGACUUGAUUGUCACGGAGUACCGUUAUCCGCCACUUCACCGGGGUAACAAACUAAAGCACACAAACAGAAAAACAAAUUAAAACACACAAAGAAAAUUAAAAUCGUCCUCUUAUUGAAUUUACCUCAAGCUCCAACUGGAUGUCGUAAACACUUCUCUCAAUGUCUCUGAGUUGGCGUUCUAAACCCUCAACAUAGGCUACUAACUCUGGUGGUUGUAGAGCCCAAAUGCGUUGUGUUUUACAAAAUAGAAUCUGCCUUUUGAGAUGAGUUUUGACACGUUGAAGUGGUUUAAGAAUGUUCAGGAGGAACGGUCUAAGUAUGAGACUCAUGAUUAAAAAUGAUAAGAGAAAACUUAAUUGUUAAACAAACACACUUAUGCAAAAAUAAUUUCAAUUAGCAAAAGAAUAAUAAAAAGAAAGAAAGAAAAAUCAAAUCAAUAAAAAGAGAAAAAAAAAAUUAAUUCAAAUCUGGUGGGUCACUCAAAUUUAUUUCGGUGUCUUCUUCAUGUGGUUGGUACUCUAGAUAUGGCUUUAAUCUUUGACCAUUAACUUUAAACGUGACACCGUUCUUUGGGUCUUUAAUUUCAAUUGCCCCAUGUGGAAAAACAGUAUGAACAAUAAAGGGACCAGACCAUCGAGAGCGUAACUUACCUGGGAAUAGGUGCAAGCGAGAAUUGAAUAAAAGCACUUUCUGACCUGGAGUGAACGAUUUUCUCAUAAUUUGCUUAUCAUGGAAGACUUUCAUUCGUUGCUUGUAAAUCUUGGCAUUUUCGUAUGCAUCAUUGCGAAUUUCUUCAAGUUCUGCCAGCUGUAAUCUUCUUUCUGAGCUGGCUUGCUGCAUGUCAAAGUUGAAUUUCUUGAUGGCCCAAUAUGCACGAUGCUCGAGUUCCACAGGUAGGUGGCAAGCUUUUCCAUACACUAGCCUGUAGGGUGACAUCCCAAUCGGGGUCUUGAAAGCCGUUCUAUAUGCCCAUAAUGCAUCAUCAAGUCGUAAUGACCAAUCUUUUCUGUCUGGCCUCACCGUUUUUUCUAAUAUGUGCUUGAUUUCUCGAUUGGAGAUCUCAACUUGGCCACUGGUUUGCGGAUGAUACGGGGUCGCCACUUUGUGUGUGAUUGAAUACUUUGUCAAAAGAGCUUUGAAUGUUUUGUUACAAAAGUGGGCACCACCAUCACUGAUUAUCGCUCGAGGGAAUCCAAAGCGUGAAACAAUGUUGCUUUUCAAAAAUCCUAUCACCACUUUGUGAUCAUUGGUUCUGCAUGGAAUUGCUUCCACCCAUUUCGAUACGUAGUCAACACCAACCAAUAUGUAUUGAUGGCCAAAAGAAGGGGGAAAGGGUCCCAUGAAGUCGAUACCCCAUACGUCAAAAAUCUCAACCACUAAAAUUGGAUUUAGUGGCAUCAUGUUCCUUCGUGUAAUGCUCCCCAUUCGUUGACACCUAUCACAUGAAGAACAGAAAGUGUAAGCGUCUCGAAAUAUAGUUGGCCAAUAGAAACCACAUUGUAAAACUUUUGUAGCUGUUUUCUUAGCACUAAAAUGGCCUCCACACGCUUGUUCAUGGCAGAAUGAAAGGAUAUUUUGAAUUUCACUUUCUGGGACACAUCGCCUAACAAUUUGAUCUGCACAAUACUUGAACAAAUACGGGUCAUCCCAAAAGAAAUUCUUUAUUUCCGCAAAGAAUUUAGCCUUGUCUUGCUUGGUCCAAUGCUCUGGAAGUUUACCUGUAACAAGAUAAUUAACUAUAUCAGCAUACCAAGGUAAUACUUCCACAUUCAUUAAUUGUUCAUCUGGAAAUGACUCAUUCAAUAUUAAUGGAUCUGUAAUUGUGUCAAAAUGGAGACGAGAGAGGUGGUCCGCCACAACAUUUUCUGUGCCUUUCUUAUCCUUGAAUUCCAAGUCGAAUUCCUGCAAAAGUAACACCCAACGAAUUAGUCUAGCUUUUGCAUCUUUCUUUGUGAGAAGAUAUUUAAGAGCAGCAUGAUCUGUGAAUAUAAUUAUUUUACAACCAAUGAGAUAAGAUCGAAAUUUCUCUAAUGCAAACACUACUGCUAGCAUUUCUUUUUCAGUAGUUGAAUAAUUCAACUGUGCAUCAUUCAAUGUCAUACUAGCAUAGUAAAUAACGUGGGGAAUUCGAUCAACUCUUUGUCCUAAUACUGCUCCUACUGUAUAAUCAGAUGCAUCACACAUGAGCUCAAAUGGUAAGUUCCAGUUUGGGGCCUGAAUGAUGGGUGAUGAUGUCAACAACUGCUUUAAUUUUUCAAACGCCAUGAGACAUGAAUCAUUAAAGAUAAAAGGUACAUCCUUAGCAAGUAAAUUGCAUAAGGGUCUAGAAACUUUGCUAAAAUCUUUAAUGAAACGUCUAUAAAAACCAGCAUGUCCAAGGAAAGAUCUUACUUCUCUGACUGUUUUAGGUGGAGGAAGAUUAGAAAUGAGAUCCACCUUGGCUUUGUCAACCUCAAUACCUUUGCUCGAAAUGAUGUGACCGAGAACAAUACCUUGUUUUACCAUAAAAUGGCACUUCUCCCAAUUCAAGACUAAGUUCUUCUCGGUACAUCUCUGCAGAACUAGCGUUAGAUGAUGUAAACAUUGAUCAAACGAGUCACCAAAGAUAGAAAAAUCAUCCAUAAAGACUUCAAGGAAUCGUUCAACCAUAUCAGAAAAAAUGCUCAACAUGCAUCGUUGGAAUGUAGCAGGUGCAUUACAUAAUCCAAAUGGCAUUCUCCUAUAUGCAAAAGUGCCAAAAGGGCAAGUGAAAGUAGUUUUCUCCUGAUCUUUUGGUGCUAUGGGAAUCUGAUUAUAUCCUGAGUAGCCAUCUAGAAAGCAAUAAAAUUCAUGGCCUGCUAAUCUAUCAAGCAUUUGAUCAAUAAAUGGUAAAGGAAAAUGGUCUUUACGUGUGACAGAAUUCAACUUUCUAUAAUCAAUGCAUACACGCCAUCCUGUAGUUACUCUAGUUGGUAUCAAUUCAUUAUCAGCAUUGGUAACUACUGUGACUCCUGACUUUUUGGGGACGACUUGUACAGGACUGACCCAUGAACUAUCAGAAAUUGGGUAAAUGAUACCUGCAUCUAAUAGCUUAAGGACUUCAGUUCUAACAACUUCUUUCAUGUUAGGAUUUAACCGACGUUGCAUCUCCCUAGUAGUUUUAGCAUUUUCAUCAAGGUGAAUGUAAUGCAUGCAGUCUACUGGAUUUAUACCUUUUAUGUCUGCUAUGGUCCAUCCUAAUGCCCCUUUGUGCUCUUUUAACACAUCCAACAACUUACCUUUUUGUUCGUCAUUUAGGGAUGAUGAGAUGAUUACCGGUAGAGUGCUUUCUUCUCCCAAAAACGCAUAUUCCAAUGUGUUGGGCAAUUGUUUGAGCUCGAGUUUUGGUGGUGAUUCUGAUGAUGGGAUGAGUUUCUUUUCUGACGGUGCUAGUUGUUCUACUCUUGACUUCCAUUUAUUAGUGUCCAUGGAUGGUGCUGAGUCAAGUAGGGCGUUGACCUCUUCGACCGAUCUAUCAAUAUCAAAAUCCAAACCAAAGUGAGUUAAGCAUGUUUGUAAAGGAUCAUCACUAAGGUUUGAAAGAAAAGUAUUAUCAACUAUUGUUUCUAUUAAAUCCACAUCAACAAUUCCAUCAUCUGCACUGUGAGGUUGUUUGGCAAUGUUAAAGAUGUUUAGCUCCAUAGUCAUGUUGCCGAAGGACAAUUGCAUAUUUCCGGUCCUACAUUGAAUAUGAGCAUCUGCAGUUGCCAAGAAAGGUCGGCCUAGAAUAAUGGGGAUGUGCUUCCUUGAGUCCUGUAUUGGUUGAGUGUCAAUUACAAUGAAAUCAACAGGAAAAUAAAACUUGUCUACCUGGAUAAGCACGUCCUCCACAAUACCACGAGGUAUUUUUGUGGACCGAUCUGCAAGUUGUAACACCACUGGAGUUGGGUGUAAUUCUCCCAGUCCAAGUUUCACGAAUACAGAGUAAGGUAACAAAUUUACACUAGCUCCUAAAUCCAACAAAGCAUUCUCAAUUGUGUGGUUCCCUAUACUACAUGAGAUAGUGGGGGAGCCUGGGUCUUUGCAUUUUAAAGGAAUUUUAUGUUGGAGUAUAGAACUAACGUUUUCUGUUAAAAAUGCCUUCUUUUGAACAUGCAUAUUUCUCUUUUUAGUACAAAGGUCUUUAAGAAACUUGGCAUAAGAUGGAAUUUGUUUUAUAGCAUCAAGCAAAGGGAUAUUGACACUUACCUGUUUGAAGAUUUCGAGAAUCUCACCUGUGGAUUUUCCCUUCUUGCCUUUAGCUAACCUCUGAGGAAAUGGAGCUUUCGGAAUAUAUUCUCGUGGGUUGGUUUCUUCUCUCUCCUCCGGUGGUGAGUCCUCAGCAUUUACAGGUACAAUUUGAUUUUCUUUUGUCACCUGCAUCUCCACUUUAUUGUCGACUUCUUUUCUUUUUCUCAAGGUCAUUACUGCUUUGACCUCUCCAUGCUGCUGUGGUGAACUGGUACUUGCUUCAUGCACUCCUUUAGGAUUAGGCACUGGUUGACUCGGAAACUUGCCUUUCUCAACAGUCAUUGCCAAGGUCUGAACUGAAGAAGCAAGCUGUCCCACCAUCUUCUCGAGGCUUGAAACUGAUUGGGCUUGUGAAUUGAAGCCCGCUCUCAACUCAUUUCGUAGUCCAUCAAUGGUGCGAUUCUGUUGCUCAAUCGUGGAGUGAGUAACAUUCUUGAAAUUCUGGAAUGCAUCCUCCCAUGGUCUGGGUUGAGAGUAGUUCUGGUUUUGAUUGUAUGGUCUAAAUGGUGGCUGAGAGGCUUGAGGAUUUUGAGGAAUUGGUUGCAUUGGUGGAGCUGGAGCUGCUGGUCCAUUCUGUUGAAAUCCUUGAGACCAUGAAAAAUUGGGGUGGUCUCUCCAUCCAGGAUUAUAUGUGUUGGAGUAUGGGUUGUAAUUAGAUGGCUUUCUCAUUACACCUAUGGCAUUGGCUUGAUCGGAGUAUGAGUCAUGGUCAUGUGGUUCUGUUGAUUUAGCAGUCGAUAACGAUGCUAUUUGUCGAGCAAGACCUUCAACCAUCUCCUUGACUUCUUUGAUUCCCGAAGUUGACUCGCCAAUGUGAACCUCAUUCACUCCUUUAAUCCUUCUAGUAUUCCUGAGUGAUCGACUCCGUUGUUGGGAAUUAUCCGCUUGUCGCUGGAAGAAUUCCCAAAUCUCUGUUGCGCUUUUUGACAUUAGCUCUCCUCCACUUGUUGCCAUUAGCCAUUCUUGCACAUUCGGCAAUAAUCCCUCCAAAAAGUAUUGGCAUUGGUGCCAUUUUUCGUACCCAUGAUGUGGACACUUCAAGAGUAGUCCAUUGAAUCGCUCCCAAGUUUCGAAAAACUGCUCGUCCUCUCUUUGUGUAAACUCUGAAAUUUCCCUGCGAAUAGAAUUGGUUUUAUGCACUGGGAAAUAUUUAUUUAGAAAUUUUGUUACCAUUUGUUCCCAUGAUGAAAUGCUAUUGGCAGGCAAUGUAUUAAGCCAUGAACGAGCUCUAUCCUUUAAAGAAAAUGGGAAUAGUCUAAGUUUUACAUCAUCAUCUGAAAAAUUUUCAUAUUUAAAAGUUUGACAAAUAGCAUGAAAAUCAUUCAAAUGAUUAUAUGGGUCCUCAUUUUCUAGGCCAUAAAAUGUGGGGAGACAAUUUAGCACACUAGGUUUUAAUUCAAAACUCCUAGCAGCUACAUUUGGGUAUCUUAUGCAUGAUGUGCUCAAAUUAGCUAAGGGACUAAAAUAGUCCUUAAAUGGCCUCUCCUGUGGUGCUUGUAAAUCCAUUUUAUUUUUAACGUGUUUGUGUGUGCGAAGUGUUUUUUCUAAUUCAAGGUCUAUAGGUUCAAUAUUAGGUAAUAAUGACCUACGACCAUGCAUGCAAAAUAAAUAAAAUAAAAAUAAAGAUGCAAACAAAACAAAAAAUAAAGAUGGGAACAAAACAAAUAAAAAAUAAAGAUGAGAACAAAACAAAUAAAAAUAAAGAAGAGGGAGAAAUUACGAUACUAACCUCAUUGCGCUAUUACAACCUUACUAUAAAAAUACACAAAAAUAAAUACGUGAAAUAAAUUAACUAAAAAUUAAAUUAAUAAGAUAAACAAAAAUUACAAAGAAAAAAUAAAUUGAAAAUUAAAUUACAGAAUUUUAAAGAAGAGAAAAAGAAAAGAAAUACUAACCUUUAAAUGUAGAUUUACUCUUUUUUUUUAAAGAACAAAAAAAAAAAAAAAAUACAAGAAAACAAUUUAAAAUAAAUUAUUCACAAAAAUUAAUUCUAUGAAUUAAAACUACUUACCUCCCCGGCAACGGCGCCAAAAACUUGUUGUGCAAAUUUUAAUGUACUCGCAAGCGCACGAAUCUAUUGUAGUAUAGAUCAAUGGUGACGAGUGUCGAUCCCACGAGGAGGUGGAUUUUAAUUGUGUAUAGAAUUAAUUUUGUAAAUGGGUGGUUGGAUCUGUGGUGGAAAUGAAUUGGAAUAUGCUAAAACUUAAAUUAAAAUGGCGAGAAUAAAUUCUAAAAUUGGAAUUGCAAUGGCGAGAAUAAAUUGAAGAGAAAUGUAUUGAAAUGACGUACUUGGGUAUCUGGAUCCGUAUCAACAUGCAUCAUGGGCUAAAUAAUCCGUAUUAAUGCCAAUUAAAUCAUGAGGGGGGAAUCCACACCUCAUGAACCACGCUCUAAUCAAUAUGGUGCUAAGGGCUUAUCGUGCCAAAUAAUAAUAACCUUAUACUAGAGAGCCGGUGUAACCAAGGCGGUAUCUAGACAAGAUCAGUAUUAUUUGUCGACGAUAAGUCAAAUCAUCCACAAAAACUAGAGGGGAAAAGAAAAUAAAUUUACCAAAUAAAGCCCAUGACACAUGUUGAGACUUCACCUUCAACCCAAGCUUGAAAGGAAAUUAGCUACUCAUAAUUGAACUAGGGGCAAAAUGAAAAUUUAUUAAAAUACGAAGAAAAUACAAGAUGGAGAAGGAAUUACAGAAAAUGGAUCCCAAAAAUGGAUUCAGAGAUAUCAAAUUAGGGGGGGGAGGCCCCUUUUUUAUAGAUACAUGGAGUAAAUCAUGGCCAUCGGAUUAAAAACAGUUUGGACGCUCAGGAUUGCGCCACGUCAUCAGUCAACAGUCCACGGUUUGACCACGCGGAUGAACAGUAACACGGUUUGACCACGCGGAUGAACAGUAACGCGGUUUGGUUGAAAAUAAUCCUGUGUGAUGCAUGCACCGUACGCGAGAUUUUUCGUCCACUGAUAUGCUGCCACGUCACCAUCAACAGUACAUAAGAAUUUUAGUCCAACAGGAUCGUGACACCUCAUCAGUCAAUGCCACAUCAUCGGUCAAUGCCACGUCAUCGAUCCGUCUAUGUGAACAGUGUCGUGAACAGUAACGUAGACAGUACCGUAUACGUGAAUAGUACCGUACAUGUGAAUAGUGCCAUUUUUCUUUUUAUGCCCCUCCUAAGGUUUUCGACCGUCCUGAGUUCAAAAGUGAUGUCCGUUUUGCCAUCUGAUCUCUCCUUUAUUGUGAAAUAACUAUAAUGCCCCUAAAAUACAUAAAAUACUUAAUUAAAAUAAAACACAUGUAAUUAAAUCACAAGAAGGUUAAAUACAUAAAAGUAAGGGUUGUUAAUAAGACUUGAAAUGUAAAAUGACGGUUUUCUCCUUUAUAAAUAUGCAUUUUCUAACACUCAACACUAGUGAGGUUCCAUUUAGGUGUAUUGGGGUUGUGGGUUUUGUGAGUUUUUUCCACUUUUGUAAAUUCUCAUUAUUAGUAAAAUUAUCUUCCAAUCUUUGCCCGUGGACGUAGGCAUUAUGCCGAACCACGUAAAUUAUUGUGUUUAUAUUUUCUUUGUAUUUGUUUGGCACAUUUAUAUUUCUCCAAAAGUUACAUUCAUCGUAAUAUUGGUAAUUGCUCAACCUCGCACUUCCGCAACAAUUGGUAUCAGAGCAGAAGGUUCGUGCUUGGGGCAUACAACAUUGUUCACGUAUACGGAACUGUUCACAAAUACGGUAUUGUUCACGUAUACGGUAUUGUUCAUUGAUAUGGUGGAGAUGGUCAUUUAUACUUGGGAGACAGUCUAUUGAAAGUAGUGUGUAUUUUUUCAUGUCUAGGAAAGUCCUGUCAACAAGGCGAUAAAAGCUUAAGGAGUCUGGUUUUAAGUGGGACCGUUGUGACCCCUCCAUUCUCCUAGGAACUUUCCUGGUGCAUUUAUUCAUGCGAAAUAAAUAUCAUAGAGGCUAUUUUUCAAGUGUAAAUAGUUGUUGAAGAAACUGAUCAUUUGAGAUAAAAAUGAUGGCAGAGGCAUCGUCGUCGUCGUCGUCUUCAUCAGCAAGGACUACUGUGACUAAUGCAAAGUUUGAAGUGGAGAAAUUCAAUGAUACCAAUAAUUUUGGUAUGUGGCAAUGUGAGGUGUUGGAUGUCUUAUGUCAGUAAGAGUUGGACGUUACUCUUAAAGAAAAGCCUGACAUAAUGGAUGACAAGGAGUGGAUAAAGAUCAAUAAACAGGUAUGUGGUACUAUUCGCCUAUGUUUGGCUAAAGAUCAUAAAUACUUUGUUAUAAAGGAGACAUCGGCAAAGAAAUUGUAGGAGACAUUGGAAGAAAAAUAUAUGAAGAAAAGUAUAUAAAGAAAAGCCUUAAAAAUAAGCUUUAUAUGAAGAAGAAACUUUAUCUAUUCACAUAUACACCUGGCAUGUCGAUGAAUGACCAUGUAAAUUCAUUCAACAAAAUAUUGGCAGAUUCACUAAAUUUGGAUGAGAAAUUUGAAGAUGAAGAUAAGACACUGUUGUUUUUUAAUUCCCUUCCUGAUGAAUAUGAUCAUCUCACUACCAAUUUGCUUCAUGGGAAGGGCAGUGUCACAUUCGAUGUUGUAUGCAGUGCAUUGUAUAACUCUAAGAUCAGAAAGAAAGAUAGAAAAGAUCACAGAGAUACAGUUGUAGAAGCAUUAACAACUAAAAGUCGUUCACAAGGCUGUAAACUUGGAAAAAGAAGCAAGUCUAAAGGGAGACCUGCCAAAGAUGAGUGUGUUUUUUGUCGCGAGAAAGGACAUUGGAAAAAGAAUUAUCCUAAGUUACAAAAGGAUAAGGCUUCUUCUUAUGCAUGUGUAGCAGAGUAUGAUGAGGAGUCAGACUUUAGUCUGGUUGGCAUGACGUUGACAUGUUACUUAGAUGAGUGGUUUUUGUAUUCGAGUUGUGCUUAUCAUAUGUGUCCUAACAAGGGUUGGUUUUCUAACUUCAAGGAGCUGGACGGUGGAAUUGUUUUUAUGGGCAAUGACAAUGCCUGUAAAACCUUGGAAAUAGGUACAAUUCAAUUAAAAAAUCGUGACGGUUCAAUCAAAGUCUUGACGGAUGUUCACUACAUACCAAGUUUAAAGAAAAAUCUCAUCUCAUUAGGAGUCCUAGAAUCUAAAGGGCUCACAAUCACUCUGAGAGAUAGAUUAUUAAAGGUAGUAGCUGGCACACUAACGGUGAUGAAAGACACAAGAAGAAAUAACUUGUACUAUUUUCAAUGGAAUACAAUUAUUAGAUCAGCAUCAACAGUUUUUGGAAGAGAUGCAGAUUCAGAAGCAACCAAGUUGUGGCAUAUGCGUUUGGGACAUGCUGGUGAAAAAUCUUUACAGACUCUAGUGAAGCAAGGCUUAUUGAAAGGUGCAAAUUCUUACAAAUUAGAAUUUUGUGAACAUUGUGUUUUAGGCAAGCAGACAAUGGUAAUGUUUAGUUCAAUAAUUCACGAUACAAACUUCCUCGGGGGAGCAUUAAAACCUUCGAGCAGAUGUGCCAGGAAUUUGCAGAGCAGUUUCGUGGGGCAAUGGCACCAGAAGAUGCCAUGAUGGAAUUGAAAAACAUGAAGCAGGGGGAAUAAUAAACACUUCGGGAAUUCAUCAAGAGGUUUUACCAUGUUGUCCUUGAUUUGGGAGCCUUCAACCAUCCUCAGGCAUUAAGGGGACUGAAAGAAUGGGUGAAGAUAGGAAGACUGUGGUACAACUUGAGAAGCCCAGUUAUUCAGACGUACGCCGCCGCAUACAAGCAGGCUAAGAGGGACAUUGAGAUUGAAGUGGAAAAGGCAGCACGGAUCAAGACAGACCAGUUAGAUGGGUUGGGGAAGAAAGAGAAGAAAGCAUUGCCAGGGAACGGGCCGAUCAGGAGGAGAGACCUUCAGGCCUCAAGUAGUGGAGCAGGAGAUCGGGUAACUACUGGCCAUCCUCAUCAGAGGCCACCACAGUAUCGGCGCAGCAGGGCGCAACCUCCUCGUUCCCCAGCUAGGGAGCCUUGGAGAAGCCAUGACUCGGCAUAUGGUGGUCUUCAUCAACACUCCCACGGUAGUAGGGGGCAGACCAGAAGUGCUGCCACCGCCUCCAACUCAGAACGGAGCAAAUAGAGAAAAAGCAGUGCACCUGAUCGACCAGAACCAGGACUAUGGGCAGUACACUUCCUUAAAGAUGUUCCUGGACGAGGUGUACGAGGCCAUAAAGGAUCGAGGGUUGCUAUACCUCCCUGCCUCAAUAACAAAACUACCCAGCAGGAGGGAUAAGGGACGCUAUUGUAAGUUCUAUGGCGCGCAUGGCCGUACUACAACAGAAUGUAGAGAUCUAAAGACCCAGGUCGAAGAUUUGGUGAGAAAUCGAUACCUGGACGAGUUUAUAGAGGGGACUUUCCCGAUGGUGGCCUCGACAUGCGAGGGGGAGCAGAGUGGCAGAAAUUUGAGGCACGAGUAGCCUACAGUAAGGGUGAUUGCUGGGGGCCCGACAUUGGCUGGAGAUUCCAACAGAUCUAGGAAGAACUAUGCUAGAUACGCCAUGACUAGUAAAGAGGUAUUCUUCAACACCCCGGCAGCCAAACGAGCAAGAGUCAGGCAAGUGCCAAUCAUGUGGACAGACGAGGAUGAAAAAGGGAUUUUAUACCCACACGAGGAUGCCUUAGUCAUCAAGGCCACUGUUGCUAGCAGGAAGUUUGACCGGAUACUAGUCGAUAUAGGAAGCUCGGUUGAUGUGUUGUUCAAGUCCACUCUAGAGGAGAUGAGAAUAGCAGACCUGAGGUUGGAGCACACCAACACCUCCUUGAAGGGAUUUGGAGGAGGAAAGCUGGUCCCCCUGGGUGUGGUCGAGCUGCCUAUCACAAUCGGAAGCUCCCCGACAGAAAGGACUAUGAUACUAGAUUUUGUGGUGGUUGAUGAAGAGGGUCCUUACCAGAUAAUCCUAGGUCGGCUGUUUCUGAGGAUGAGUAAAGCAGUACUGUCCAACCAUUAUCUUGCUCUCAAGUACCGGGUGAAUGGGGUAGUUGGAGUGGUACGAGGAGACCAGAGAAUCGCACGAAGCUGUUACUCCUCGGCAGCAAAGGAAUCGAUACAGAUAACAUCCCUUGAUACCCGAGUGAAAGCCAGGAAUGGCAACUUAUUGGACUCGGAGUUUACAAGCUGGUUCGCAAGGACGGCCACGAGGUGAAAUGCCCAUGGAACGCAGCACACCUCCGAAAAUACUUCCAGUAAGACUUGUUCACAUUUGAAAGCUAUUUCUGCUCGUGUUCAUUAUCGUUUAUCUUUUAUGUUUUAUAUCCAAACAAUUUCAUGUAAGUCGAAUCCUGCCAUUAAUGGAACGUCGAGGAAUUUCAUUCGCUUGAAACUGUGAAAAUUUCCUAAGGCAUGCAAAGGCUCGUCAAGUCUCAAAGCCUGUUUAUGGCGAGACCAGAAGCCAAGCGUGCCAGGAUCUGCUCGGCCACGAGAAGGCGAGCAGAAUCCCAAGCUUUGAAGAAAUUACCUAAGGCAUGCAAAGGCUCGACAAAGUCUCAAAGCCUGUUUAUGGCGAGACCAGAAGCCAAGCGUGCCAGGAUGUGCUCGGCCACGAGAAGGCGAGCAGAAUCCCAAGCGUUGAAGAAAUUACCUAAGGCAUGCAAAGGCUCGUCAAGUCUCAAAGCCUGUUUAUGGCGAGACCAGAAGCCAAGCGUGCCAGGAUCUGUUCGGCCACGAGAAGGCGAGCAGAAUCCCAAGCGUUGAAGAAAUUACCUAAGGCAUGCAAAGGCUCGUCAAGUCUCAAAGCCUGUUUAUGGCGAGACCAGAAGCCAAGCGUGCCAGGAUCUGUUCGGCCACGAGAAGGCGAGCAGAAUCCCAAGCUUUGAAGAAAUUGCCUAAGGCAUGCAAAGGCUCGACAAAGUCUCAAAGCCUGUUUAUGGUGAGACCAGAAGCCAAGCGUGCCAGGAUCUGCUCGGCCACGAGAAGGCGAGCAGAAUCCCAAGCUUUGAAGAAAUUAUCUAAGGCAUGCAAAGGCUCGACAAAGUCUCAAAGCCUGUUUAUGGCGAGACCAGAAGCCAAGCGUGCCAGGAUCUGCUCGGCCACGAGAAGGCGAGCCGAAUCCCAAGCUUUGAAGAAAUUGCCUAAGGCAUGCAAAGGCUCGACAAAGUCUCAAAGCCUGUUUAUGGCGAGACCAGAAGCCAAGCGUGCUAGGAUGUGCUCGGCCACGAGAAGGCGAGCAGAAUCCCAAGCUUUGAAGAAAUUACCUUAGGCAUGCAAGGGCUCGACCAAGUCUCAAAGCCUGUUUAUGGCGAGAUCAGAAGCCAAGCGUGUCAGGAUCUGCUCGACCACGAGAAGGAGAACAGAAUCCCAAUCAUUGCAGAGAUUACCUAAGGCAUGCAAAGGCUCAUCAAGUCUCAAAGCCUGUUUUAUGGCGAGACAGAAGCCAAGCGUGCCAGGAUCUGCUCAACCACGAAAAGGUGAGCAGAAUCCCAAUCCUUGAAGAAUUGAAGGCAUGCAAAGGCUCGUCAAGUCUCAAAACCUGUUUAUGGCGAGACCAGAAGCCAAGCGUGCCAGGAUCUACUCGACCACGAGAAGGCGAGCAGACUCCAAAGCAUUCGAAAAAAUUCCUAAGGCAUGCAAAGACUCACCAAGUCUCAAAGCCUGUUUUAUGGCGAGACAGAAGCCAAGCGUGCCAGGAUGUGCUCGACCACGAGAAGGCGAGCAGACUCCGAAGCAUUCGAAAAAAAUUCCUAAGGCAUGCAAAGGCUCACCAAGUCUUAAAGCCUAUUUUAUGGCGAGACAGAAGCCAAGCGUGCCAGGAUCUGCUCAACCACGAGAAGGCGAGCAGACUCCGAAGCAUUCGAAAAAAUUCCUAAGGCAUGCAAAGGCUCACCAAGUCUCAAAGCCUGUUUUAUGGCGAGACAGAAGCCAAGCGUACCAGGAUCUGCUCGACAACUAGAAGGCGAGCAGACUCCGAAGCAUUUGAAAAAAUUCCUAAGGCAUGCAAAGGCUCACCAAGUCUCAAAGCCUGUUUUAUGGCGAGACUAGGAGCCAAGCAUGCUAGGGUCUGCUCGACCACGCGAAGGCGAGCAGAAUCCCAAGCAUUGAAGAAUUUUCAAAGGCAUGUGGCAAAACCAUGUGCCAAGCCAGAACCUGCUCGACCAGACAAAGACGAGCCGAUUCUCAAACGAAAAAUAACUCAUGAUUACGACACAAGAAAGUAAUCAAAAAUAUUUUUAUUAAUUUGUUAAUAAUUAACAGAGGAGAUAAUCUUCACAAACAUUGUUCAUUACAAUACAAGAAACAUAUUUAAGAAGAUGGUGGGUCCGCAAGCCGAGCAUCCUCAGUUAGAUGGUCCACCUCAGGUGCUGGGGGAGUAUCUCCAGUUGCGUCUGGGGGGGUACUCGCCUCACCAGCAUCAGCAGGGAUUACACGGGGAGGAGAGUUUUCCUCUUCUAUCACCAUUGGUGCCACCUCUUCGGCAUCCUCCUUUGCAGCCUCCUCGUCCAUAUGUUGGGCGACACCAGCUGCAAGGUCGUCCAUCUUUAGAUCAGGAUGCUGCUUCCCGAGGACGGCCAUGAUGCAACGAUAAGAAUGCCGAAGUCCCUGGUCGUACUGGUUGUCGGCCUCCUUCUCCAAGUUCUCGACCUGACCUCGGUGGGAAUCGCGGAGGGAUUCGAGCUGAGCCUCAUACAUAGCCUUCUGCCUUUGAAGAUCCUCCUUGACCUUGGCCAGCUCUUCCUCGAGAGUAAUAGCCUUGGCUUGAGCAAGAGAUUCUCGCUCAAUCAACUUCAGAUUCUCGAGGUUUAAGUCCCCUGCUUUCUUCUCAGCAACAUCAGCUCUGGUCGUCGCCGACUGAAUGUCCUCCUUCAUCUUCCUAUCAUAACGGCCAACCUUGGCCUUAUAGUAGGUGGUCAUGCAGCUGAGAUGGAAAGCGCUAUACUGCAUGGCCCCCACCAGCUCGCCUAAGGUGUAGCCAUCAAAGUCCUCGAGGUCCUUCUUGCUCACGAUUUUGGAAAGCUCGUUGAGAUAGGGGGCCAAGUGUUCUGCUCGGCUGUCAGGUAAACGAGAUCUAUGCCCGACAAGAGGCGAAGAGGAAGCAGGAUCAGUGGCUGCUCCACUGGUCUCGUCGAGUUUGGCAGAAAGAAGAGGUAAAGUCUUCAAGGGAGAGACCUGCUGCACGAUGUUGGCCCGCUUUGCAGUAGGGGCAUCCUUGUUCUGGUCCCUCUUCGUGGUUUGGGGUCGAGAACGUUUCCUGUUUAGAGCCCCAAUCACGGCGUCCUCCAUCUUAUGACCAGGGAGUAUCAAGCGAGACUCGAGCAAGUUGUAUGUAGUUAUCAGCUCCCGGCUCGAGCAGGAAUUGGCUAGCACAGCCUCGACCCGUUUGAGCUGGCCAGGUUUGAGCGAGAAAUGAACACCCCAAGAAACUACAACACAAACAGACACUUGGUUAGAGACAAACCAACAAAGCGAGAACAAUUACGGAUACAAGACAUCUAAAGCGAACAGGCAACCUGGGACCGUGAAACGGGGUGGAACGCGAUAAUCCUUCCCGUCUAUUUGUGCAACUUGACCCCAAGGACCCCCAGCAAAAAAGAAUUUCCUCUUCUAAUUCCCACCACCACCAGUAGGGAGGUCGGUUAUGGGUUUCCUGGUCUUGGUACUAGAUUGAAAGUAGUACCAGCCGGCAUCUUUGGGGCUGCUCUUUAGCUGGUACAGGUGCUUCACCUCAUCAACUGUGGACUCGCUUUGGCAACAUCUGUCCCACAAUAUGAACAGACCAGAAAGUACUCUCCAACCAUUUGGGUUCAGCUGACCAGGAGAUAGAUUCAGCCCGUUAAGUAUCCGGGCAAAGUAAGGUUGCACGGGACACCUCAGCCCAUACUUAAAACUAUCCAGAUACAGGGUAACGUAUCCCCUAGGAGGCCGGCUAGGAGUAUCCUUCUUUCCUGGGACCUUAAGAGGGAUUUCACCAGGAAUACUAUACCUAAGCCGGAGGUCAUUGAGCUCAUCAAACGUGGUUAUGCAUGUCAUGUAAUCAAUAGCGUAAUCCCGCGAUAGGGCUCUACCUCCUAUUGUACUCCGCCCUUCUGGUCGCGACGCUCCUGAUGGGGACACCUCGCCAGAAUCAUCUCCUCGGCCCUCACUCAGGGUGUUCUCCGAGCCAGAAGACCCCUCUUCAUCACUAUCUCUGCUCGAGGAGGUCGUUUACGGAGACAUCCUCCUAGCGCUAGUGCCGACACUAGAUCUAAUGGGCUCUAAGGGGAUCCCGGGGUCAAAAGCAGGAUCAGUGAGCAGACUAGGCAGGAAGUCCAACUCAUCGUCGUCAACCUCAAUGACCUUCUCUUUACCUUUCGACAUUCCCUAAACUCUAACCACAACACCACCACCAACUACUACCCGAACAAAAGAGAACAAAAAUUAUCUACAACUAUCCGAGACCAAGGAGAUAGAAGAAAUACCUGAAGUAAUGGUUCAGUCGGUGAAAGACAGAGAUGGAGGCCUUUAUGCCGGAACUUCUUUGCCGGAGAGACAGGGACGGAGACAGAGGGAAUGAUGAAUUUGCUGUUUGAAAGGAUUUAGGUUUCCUAAUGGGGACGGCCUCUUGGGUUGCCAGCAUUUAACGGCACCAAAUCCCAAGGGCCUCGUAACCGUUGGUUUGAAAUUCGAAUAGAGGGGCAGAUUUCUGCCACAUCACCUCGUCCGCAAUUAAAUGCGAUAUGACUCUUGGCAGCCUUUUCCAGUCCCACGCGACCAAGAACCGCUAAGUUUCUACUGCUGGUCCAUUACAUUACCCAACACCAGAAACUGGGGGACCGGUGUUUGAGGGAAAUACUCUGACGAGACCAGACGUGAUGAGCAGAUGUUUGGUGGUAGAAGUCUGCGAGCAGGUGUGUCCUGUAAGAGCCAGGUAGCAGGGGAACAGGGGCAGGAAUAUCCUGCUCAUCCACGAGCACGUCAUCCGCGAGGCCAAUUUCCUGUAAGAAGCAUAAAGCCAUUCCUGCUGUAUUCUUGCUAAGGGUUGAUUCGAGGAGACCCGGUCAACGACAGUUGGCGAGGCAUGCUCUCCAGCCCGAGAAUCUAGGCACGAAGGCCACGCAACCACCCACGACUACGGAAAUGGGGAAUCCACGUUCGAGAGGUGGGAGGAUAACGGACGUAGACUGCGGAAAACUGGGAUUCAGAGGAAGCCUAUAAAAAUGUAGCCAACGAAGGUAAAAUGGUUAGCAAUUUUGAGAUUAGAAGGGAGAUAAAGAAAUUCUAAAGAAGAGAAAACUACCCAAAAGCCAUAAGAUCUGUGGCAAGCGUUCCCCGAACCUUCAUAUCUGACUUGAGCGUCGGAGGGUUUGCGUCGGGAAAACAACCGGCGUACUCUGACUUGUCUGUGUGCGCAGGAACCUCUGGAGAAGAAGCUUUACGAGGAGAGAUCCUGGUCGUGGUGAAGUUGAUCGAGCAGAGACCCUGGUCGUAGAACGAGGAGAACCAGAAUCUCGCAUCAACAAAACGUGUAUUUCAACCUGAGUACUAGCGAUUACCAGUGACUGAUUAACACUUGUUUUAAUUGUAUUCAGCAGUCAUAAAAAUUUACUUUUUCUUGUUAUUUAUUUAUACCACACAUUUUGACUACCACAAACUUAAGUUGCUUGGCUGACGUAUUUACCACAAAUAAAAACUAACAUUCGAGGUUUUUCUUUCGACAUUUCUAUAGAUGUUUUAACAUUUUAGAUUACAAUAUUUUUCAAAACUUGAUUUAGUCACUGAUUGUUGACUACGACGACGACAAAAAAUCUAUUUCGUUGUGAAAAGGAAUCCACAAGAGUACAAGACGGAGCCUUGAUCCAGUAAUAUUACGGAAAAUGGUAUUUUGUUUCCUUACAAAUGAAGAGAGGUUCUGUCUUUGCAGUGGGUAAGGUGAGGGUAUAGAACAUAUUAAUGGCUUUACUUAUCAUCAUCAACUUCCUUCUGUGUCUCUCAAUCUUUGUCUUCUUCUUUGUUUUGCAAAGGAACAUAACCUCAAGAAAUAAUACUAAAUUACCACCAGGCCUCCGGGGCCUUCCUUUCAUCGGUAACGUGCACCAGCUUGAUGUCUCAAAGCCUCACGUGUUAUUUUGGGAACUGUCAAAAAAAUAUGGCCCCCUCAUGUCCUUGCGUCUUGGGUUUUCGCCAUCCUUAGUAGUUUCCUCGGCGAAAAUGGCUAAAGAGAUAUUACAAACCCAUGACCUUCAAUUUUGCAGCAGGCCAGCCUUGGUAGCACAACAAAAGUUAUCUUACAAUGGUCUUGAUUUAGCGUUUUCACCCUAUGAUGAAUAGUGGAGAGAGAUAAGAAAAAUUUGUGUCAUUCAUCUCUUUAACUCUAAUAGGGUACAAAAUUUUCGACCCAUUAGAGAAGAUGAAGUUUCAAGAAUGAUUGAAAAGAUUUCAAAAUCAGUUGGUGCUUCUAAUCCCGUAAACUUAAGUGAGGUAAUGAUGUCUCUUACCAGCACCAUUAUUUGUAGAAUUGGUUUUGGCAAGAGGUACGAUGAAGAUAAAGCAACAAGUGGAAGAAGUAGAUUCCAUGCCCUGCUUAAUGAAACUCAAGCCUUGUUUGUAAGCUUUUUUGUUACAGAUUAUUUUCCUUUCAUGGACUGGAUUGAUAACCUCAGAGGAAUGAUGAAACGCCUGCAAAAUAACUUCCAAGAACUCGAUGGAUUCUACCGGGAACUCAUCGACGAGCAUUUGGAUCCAAACAGAACUAAAUCAGAAUUGCCGCAACAGGAGGAUAUAAUUGAUAUUUUACUUCAAAUAAGAAAAGAUCGUGGAUUUAAAGCUGACUUGACUUUGGAUCACAUCAAAGCAGUGCUCAUGGUGAAUAAUUUUAUAAAUAGUUAUAUGUAGACCGGUGCUUAGGCACAGACUCAAAAUUUUGCGCAGAUACCCAAUUUUACAGUCUUGUAAAAUGUUUUAUAGUGCUGUCAAGUGCUCUCUGAUGUCCCCAUCUGAGCACGAUUAACUUAAUAUAGUUUUAUUUGCUUUAACUAAUCUUAUAUGUAUAUAUUUAUGUUCUUUUUUUUUUAAUUUGCUUUUUUAAGUAAUUUAAUAUGUAUAUAUGUAUGUUGUUUGUUUGGCAGAACGUAUUCGUUGCUGGAACAGACACGAGUGCUGCAACUGUGGUUUGGGCCAUGACCUAUCUAAUGAAGAAUCCUAGAGCAAUGAAAAAAGCUCAACUGGAAAUCAGAUCGCUGAUUGGGGGCAACAAAGGGUUUGUUAAUGAAGAUGAUGUUCAAGAACUACAUUAUCUUAAAGCAAUAGUGAAGGAGACGAUGAGAUUGCAACCCACAGGUCCAUUACUAAUCCCAAGAGAAUCAAUUCAAAAGUGCGUAAUAGAAGGGUAUGAAAUACCAGCUAAAACACUUGUCUUUGUAAAUGCAUGGGCAAUAGGAAGAGAUCCUGAAGUAUGGGAGAAUCCUGAGGAAUUUUAUCCGGAGAGAUUCGCUGAUAGUUCUAUUGACUUAAAAGGGCAACACUUUGAGUUAAUACCAUUUGGUGCUGGAAGAAGAAUUUGCCCUGGGUUGCAUAUGGGAAUUGCUACUGUGGAUCUUGCACUUGCUAAUCUUCUUUACAAUUUUGAUUGGGAAAUGCCGCUUGGAAUGAAGAGCCAUGACUUGGACUUUGAUGUUCUUCCUGGAAUUGCCAUGCAUAAGAAGAAUGCUCUUUCUCUUCUGCCUAAGCUAAGUAUCAUGAUGACUAGGUAAAUUAGGGUACCUCUACCAAUAAGUAGAUAAAAAAAUUAGGGAAAUUUACAACCGUCCACCUGUUUGUUUUGUCUUUUUCAAAAAUACACAAACACUUUUUUUUUUUUUCAGCGCGCCACCUGAAGUUCACUUUUUGUUGCAUUCUUCCACUUCCGUCUAAUUUCCGUUAGCAAAUUUAACGGAAUGACCUUUUUACCCCUCAAAAUUACAAUUUAACCCAAAAUAAAUAGAAAUUGGAGAUAAAUUGGAUGGAUUUAAUUUUUUUUCAAAGGUGGAUGCUAGAAAUUGGAGGAAAAUAAUGUUUGUUGCUUGCUAAAUUUAGAAAAUUUGUAUUUAUUUUUUUGGAGGAAAAUAGUGUUUAUUACUUGCUAGAUUUAGAAAAUUUGUAUUUAUUUUUUCUCUUUCAAAAAAAUAAAUACAAAUUUUCUAAAUUUAGCAAGCAACAAACACUAUUUUCCUCCAAUUUCUAGCAUCCACCUUUGAAAAAAUUUAAAUACAUCCAAUUUAUCUCCAAUUUCCAUUUAUUUUGGGUUAAAUUGUAAUUUUGAGGGUUAAAAAGGUCAUUUCGUUAACAUUCCGUUAAAUCUACUAACGGAAAUUAGACGGAAGUGGAAAAAUGCAACAAAAAGCAAACUUCAGGUGGCGCACUGAAAAAAAAAAAAGUGUUUGUGUAUUUUUGAAAAAGGCAAAACAAACAGGUGGACGAGUGUAAAUUUCCCAAAAAAUUAAGGCACCUCUAUCAAUAAGGGUUUGAUCUAAACGAAAUAUGUGUUAUAUGUCCGCAAUUAUGCUUCUCCUCUUCUCCCGUUUUUCUUUCUUUCUUCUUAUGUACAAUUAAUGAUGAUGCGAAUGGUGAUUAAUAAGCAAGUUUCUUUUAGUUCAAAAUUUUGGGAAGUAAAGGCUAGAAAAUAAUGGGAACUUUGCCCGCUCUCCUAUACCUUAAGAAAAGGGCGAAAAAAAAAAAGAUAUGAAUGUGAAUAUUAAUCACGUUUAUUCGGGGGUGGGCAUGAGUUGAAUUGGAUAGGGUUUGUCAGAACCCAACCCAACUUAUUAUUAAAUGAGUUAAAAUAAAAUCAACCUAACCCAAUUAAAUAAAUAUGUUCAAUCAAAUCCAACCCAACCCGAUUAAAAUUAAAAUUAAAACUUGAAGGUCAAAUUGAAAUUAAAAAUUAAAUAAACAAAGGUAUAUGACGCUGGAAAUAAAACUUAUUAAAAUCAAAUAUAAAUAUUUUAUAACAUGAAAAUUAUAUUCACGGUUUAGUAUUCAACAAAGAAAAUUGAAAAACGAACUGUAUGAAAAUUAAAAACAACGAGCUUCUAGACUUUGUUCCCGACUUUCCGCAUCUCUUUUUGAAUUUCAAAUUCAAACCUUUUAGAUAAUUAGCUAGUAUCAUGUCCUGUAAUAAAAUGAAAUAGUUUAGAGCAGUAAAUUCAAACCCUAAAGACCUUUUAGAAUUAGAGUUUAGAGCAAUAAAUACAAUAAUGAAAUAAUCUCUUUUAUAAAAAGAAGAAAAAGUGGAUAAAAAAUAGAUUAGCCAUUUAUCUCUUUAGGGUUUUGCAAUUAAGAAUUUUAUUUUUUUAUUAUUAUUAUUAUUAUUUAUAUGAGUUGGGUUUGACAGGUUCAUUAUAAUUAAUCCAACCCAACCCAAUUACCAAUUAACUCAUAAAAAUCUACUCAACCUGUUAAAAUUUAAUUGGGUCUAUUGAGUUGGAUUGUGUUUGACCACCCCUAACAUUUAUUUUGUCUUAUUUUUUUUCUUUCUAAUUUCAAAAUAUAAAUAUAUCUGACAAAUAUGCAAAACGACCACUAGCAAUAUUAUUCAUUUUGAUAGAGAAUGACUAGCCACAUGAUGCGAUUAUAGAACUGCCUCAUAAAGAAAGUUGAAAUUGUGGGCAUUAACCGGACGACGCUACGGGAGUGGUGCCAAAUGCCACUAGUGACUAUGACCUUGGCAAUGUAGAAAUUGUGUGUACACACUUACACGCCGGGCAAUGGGAGAAGUAAUUGUUAAAUUCUCAUUCUCCUAAUAAAAAUAGAUAAACAUCAUAAAUCAUCUUAGUAAUUGGCGAGAAUUAAGUUAAAUGAGAUCAACAAUCCGCCAACUCAAUCAAAGAUUUGCCAAAAUUUAUGAUGGAAAAUGGAUUAAUUCACAAAGAUAAUUUUUAAUUUACCCUAAAAAAAAAGUCAAUAUAUUUUCAUUAUCAGUUAAGAAAACUAAAAAAAUCAGUAACGCUCCCUUUAUUUGCCUCUCAUUUUCUGAAUGAAAAUAGAAGGUAAAUUAAGAUUUUCGCAAUUUUAAUGGAUAUAGUAAAAAUUAUAAUUUCAGUAGAAAGAUGAAUUAAAAUUUACCAUAAUGAACAUGUAUUAAGACCUGCUAUUUUUGUUUUUUUUUUUUCAACUGAACUGAAGUUUAUAAAUCAACCCUACGACUAGUCGACUACGAUUAACUCAUUAAGCUGGACUUGGGCGUGCCCAAACAAUCAAUUUGUUUUGAUAAUUAAUAUUUAUAAAUAUUGAGAAAAAGAACUCAAAAGCUUAAAUGCUUUGGUUUAAUUACAAAGCAGAGAGAAUGGAUAAUGUAUAAAAUAAGAUUAGAGCAAGAUUAUUGGCACCCCUUUAAAUACCUCUUAAAAUUUCUUUAAUUGUUUUACAAUUUUAACUUUUUAUUAAAAUUACAUAAUAAGACAGUUUAUAAUUAAACCCCUACUCAAAAGUCAAUAACUUUUUUUACUUCAAAAGAUCUAAUAUUUUAGAAAUUAAAAAGCUACUUUUUCUCUAAUUUUUAUGUGAGAAAUUUAUUAUCGGUAGCUGUAAUGAAGAGAAGAAAACUUUUUUUUUUCUUUUGAAUGGAAGAAAUUCCAUUGUUGAAAUGGGUUUAAUAAUAAAAAUAAAUAAAAAUCAAAGAAUAGGAUUUACACUAAUAAAAUUUGAUUAAGGAUAUUUUUAUUAUUGAUAGAGGUGAUAAAAGAAUUUUAUAAUUUUUUAAAAUAUUUUAAUAAUAAAAAAAAGUGGUGUGAAGAGAUUUUAUUUAGAAGGGUGCGAAUAGUCCCGCCACUCGUAGAAUUAUUUUCUUAUUUUUUCACCAAAUUGUUGGCAUUAGCGUUGGAGUGGAAUCCCCUUGUCAUAGAAGGCGACAGCCCCACACCCACCCCUUCUCCUUCGGUUCGAAGGAGAUGCUAUUUUUCAAUUUGUGGAUAUGCUUUCCAAAAUUAGGACCCGAAAAGAAAACUUGAAAGCCCAAUUCAAAACUUGUGCAAGAAGGACAUGUAAUUGACAUAUGCUGUUUCUUAUAUAUAUAUGUACAUAAGAGUCUGAACAUCAGCUGAGCCAGCGAUUGAUUGAAAAGCAAUUUUAAAUUUUCGGUCGGUAUUGCUUCCCUCAUCUUAUGGAUUUUCCUUCAAUUUAUUAUAUAUUCACUUCAAUUGUGUUUCUGGGUGCUCGUUAUGUGUUUCUCUUUUAUGGUUUUGGUUGGCUUUUUUCUCUGUUUUUUUUUUUUGAAGCUCUUAUUUUACUGCUUCCAAUGGUUAGUUUUGCUACUCUCUCCUGACAUAAAAUUAUUUGCUUGGAUAACUUAAUCUUUUGCUAUUUUGUUAUGUUCAUUUUAUAUAGAGCGAAUUCAUUGUAUCAAAUGUUAUCAUAAAUGAUGCUUGGGUAAUUUGAUUUAGCUUUUUUUUUUCCUUCUUUCAUAAUUUGCCUGUAGGUUAUCUUUAUUUUUUUUUUCUUUUUUCAAAUUUAUUUGAGUCUACAGAAUGUUGAUUCUGGUUUGAUCUUGUGUUACUGAACUGUUUCAUUCAUUUUGCCUAGCUAUUUAUGUUUCUAGUUUAUUGGGCAAUAGUGAUUUUAUUUCACAAAAUUCUGUGAAUAAUACUUAUUAUUCUUGGUGUGGUUUAAGGUAGUGAGAAGUUAACAUUAUCAUAAUGGCUUACAUUCCACCACAUAUGCGGCAUUCAAAGGACCCCCAGAGGCCAUCUCCAGUUCCAGAGAUGCUUGUGCCUAAAUUCAACGGAAACUUAAACUUAGGAUCACCCAACAAUAAUGCAGACAUGAGUGGAAAGAUUGUGUAUGCAGACCAUGCCAUUUCCAGGUGGUUUGCUGUUGGCUUGGAUGAUGAUGGCAGCCUUCCCUCUUCUGUCCAUCUUGAGCCGUUUUCAGUGGAUACUGUUGAGCAUAAAAGAGGAGCAAAGCCCUUAGUUUUAGUGAACAAUAAUCUGGCUAAAGGUUAGUGGUCUGCAUUUUUAGUUUUAUCCUAAAUAUGCUCUACUUUCGUUCUUGAUUUAUGUCUGGUUUUAACUUUAGUUAUGUUGACAUUUGGAUUUUUGGGUUGGUAGAUAAUGAUAAAGUAUGUGGGAAUAUAUCAAGAAGCACUUGGGAAUCGGUAGCAGAAAAUGUAUGGCCAGAUGUAUUGAGUGCUUGUAAAAUUGUCAAGAACGAAAUGGAGGAAAACCCAACAUUGGUUGCUAGAUUCGGCCAUGUUCUUUUCCGUAGGUAUGUAAUCUGGUUUCCAUCGCUUUUACAGCAACAUGUUUUGAGUUAGAUCAGUCCUUCACUUUUUUUCGACUUUGAAAUUAAAGCAACAAAAUUGCAUAUUCAUACUAAAAUCUGACAGAAACUUGUGGUCAUAUAUGUACUGACAGCUAAAACUAUGAUCUGUUCCAUUAAUCCUAGCGCCAUCAAUGUUGACUGUAAAUGUGAUCUCCAAACCAGGGACAUGAGUUAACAUUGCUUUUAAAAGCCAAAGAGGAAAUGAUUUAUUGAAAAAAUAAAGAGACAAGAUCACAGAUUUAACUUCUUUCAGACUUGUUGCAUCUCAUAGAAGCUUUCAUGCCAUCUAGAAUUUGGAUUUGGUUUUGCAUAGGCACAUUUCAAUAGUCACACUGGCAACAAAUUUAUCCAUUGUCUCAGUAUUGCUUGAUUUCUGGUGUGAGAAACAAAUCAAUCCGUUGCCAUGGCCAAGUUUUAUUAUUUGAUAUUUCAUUUGGACGGCAAACCAUACCAUCGCUUGACCUAUUUGUUACAAUAUAAAUAAUGCUAUAUGUAUCAAAUAUUUAUAUGCUGGUGUUAGAUCUUUGAAGCCUCCAUUGGCUUUCAUCUUAAAAAUCCCUCACAGAAAUAUUUUUUAUAUCAUUCGUCCUAAUGCAGGAACAAUUUCCUGAGCUUAGAAAGUGUAAGAGAAGAUCUGGUUGCUGAGACCGCUUUGAGGCAAUUUAAGAGAUCCUUUUACACAAAUGUCCCUGCUACAUACAUGGAAAAGAUUAUAAAUGAAAUUGUGCCAAAAAUUGGGGUUGAUUUUGAAGAGUACAAGGAUACUUACCAUGUCAAGGUAAUUCUUGUGCUAAACACUGAGUAUUCAUGAUCAAGUUUCUUUCAUUUCUCACUUAAUUAGCCAUUAAUCCACCCCCCCCGCCCCUUCUUGUAUAGUUGUCUGACAGCAAACGACAAAACUCUACUGUUUCCUGCAAAUGUACUGUCAAACAAAAUAACAAGCUUGAGCUCUAUAAGGCAAGUUUUCUGCUACUGGCUAACUAUUAUUUAUGGACAAUGCAUUGAAUCUUGUAUGCAUUGCCUGUAUUUUAAAGAAGACUUUGCUAGUUCAAACAUUGCAACAGGACUUCUGAUGUUUUGAAUUAAUUAGAUGAGGGUCUGAAUAUAUUCUAUUCAUUGCAAAUUAUGAAGGAGCUAUCAAAAUGAAAGCAAUAAAGAUUAAGAAAGAGACCUAGGAACGGUAGAAACCUUUGUGUCUCACUAAGACCUAUUAGAAGUGUUUCCAUGAAUAAAAACCAAUAGAAAGGAAAAGAGUUUAAAAUGAAGAAGAGGAAGAAAAUUCUUAAAAAGUAAUGCUAAUUGUACAUCUGAUUGACGGUCAGGCUUGUUAAUUCAUCAUGGAAAGUUCUAGAAACUAUUAUAAACGAAGUAAAAAUUGAAUUAAGUUAAACUCAUAAUUGAAUGUCUAAACUAAGAAAGUAUGUAUAAUAUUACAGAUGACUAUAAAAUUACUAAAAUACUACUGGUUGUGGAUCACAUUGAGUAUGCCAAUUUUUUAGAAUUCCUUUCAGCAUAAUGGGAUUUAGAUCUCAAUAAUCUUUUUCAUUUUGAGUACGGUGACAUCUGGAAGACCGGAACUAUCAAGUAUCUGAUGAUAGUCAUUUUGUUUAUUUUAUCUUUUAAAGUGCACACUAUUUCCCAUACAGUCAUAAUAUAUACUAUUUGUUUAUUUAUUGUUGUUUGUGUUGAGUCUCAUCUUGAAUAUGAAUAUUUUUCGUGCAGGUCGAACUAAACCCAGUUCGUCACAUGGUGGUAGAUAUAUCAUGCCUUGAUAAAAAUUUAGACCUGAGGUUGGCACUGUGUACUAAGAGUACCUUGUCUGCCCUCUCUGUAAGUUAAUUUGCUACUUCGCACUUGUUUCAGCUAGACUUUUAAGUUACCCCUUUUUUUGCCAUUUUAUUUUAUUUAGUCAUAGCAAUUACAAUCCUCAUAAUUACAGACACUAAAGAAGAAAACUUCAAGACCGCGUCUGGGGGGGCGGGGGCUGGAAAUCUUAAACUUAUAGAUUUGUUUUUAUCAUAGAAAGUUUACUUUCGAAGGGUUAAGAAAAAGAAUACAUAUGACAAGCUUAAGAAGGGUUAAACUUUAGUCAUGCAUCUCCCUUUUCACUCGGUAUCGACAGCAACAAGUCAGUAGUGAUCCUAACUUGUGAGGAUUUUUUUCCUUGAAAUCAGAAACUUUACUAAUGAUAACAAUAGAGUAGUAGAUGAAUCAUUAUAUUUUCAAAAUUAGUUACCAAUUGUAGACUUAAAACAAAAGUUAAAUGUCGACAAGUCAGUAGUAAUCCUAAUUUCAGAGGAUUUUCUUUUUCUUGAAAUCAGAAACUUUACUAAUGACAACAAUAGAGUAAUAGAUGAAUCAUUAUAUUUUCAAAAUUAGUUGCUAAUUGUAGACUUAAAACAAAAGUUAAAUGUAAGGUUUUUGUUGUCGUUGGGGUGUGUGUACGUGUCUGUGUUCUCAAUCCAUUGGGAGGAAUGUCCAUUUUCAUUUAAUAUUCCUGAAAACAAUUUUGAGUAGUCCCUGCAAAUAAAUUCUAUGAUCAAACUGAAAUUUUAAAAUUUUCAGGAUGGCGAAAUGAACUGCAUUAGAAACCUGAUAAAUUCAGCCAUUCUGGAUCCGGAGGUAAAGGGUGGGAUAAGAUGGCCCAUGGGGAAGUCAUAUUCUGGGCAAAGAUACAGAGUUAUUGGGGUUUGGCACACUGAAUUUAAAUCAUAUAAAAGCCCAUCACUAAAGCUCAAGGUAAGAAAUGCUGAUCGAUUUGAUUUCAAGACUGCAACCGGGGAAGCUACAAUUGAGAUUAAUCUGAAGUUGCGAAGAAUAGUUUCAGAGAUUCAGGUAUUUGCUGCUUUUUGCUUCAACUUUUAUAACUUAACCUGCUAUCCUUGUAUAUGAUUACAUAGUGCUUGGAAUUCUCUCUGUUCCAUCAUAAUGUUAAUGCAUAUUUUAUCUUCACAAUUUACUGUAAUUUUCUGUUUUUACUAUUUGAUGCUGGAAAGAGGGUCCUUUUUUUUUUUGUUUUGGGGGGUGGGGGGUGUGUGUGGAGAUUGCCGUACAAAAGAAGUUUGUUGGGGAAGAUUUUAUCGAUGAGAUGAGAUAGCAAGUUUAUCCAUUUACUUUAAUGAGUCCGAUCUAGUCAUACGUGGUGGGUGUUCAUUGGCAGAGCUGCAGGCCCCACAACACAGCUCCACCAAUGACAAAUCGCUGUGGGCACGCACAUGAUCGAAAUCCUAAUUGAACAUAUUAUCUGCAAGAACCCUGUUUAGUGUUCUAUUUGCUUUGUUUCAUCUUUUCAUUAACAUGCGCUUAGUACUUUUUAUUUCAAUUGUCAGGAUGGGAAGAUUGGUAUUGAUUCCGUCUACAGUGGGUUUGAAGACAACCUGAGGUUAAUAUGGGAUCAUUUCUUGUCAUGUGAGCAGCUGUUGACAUAAACAACAGGUUGCAGGCUCUACCCUACUCUUGGUUGAUGUUUGCGUUUGGGUGCUUCCUGUACUUGCUGCUGCGCAAAGAUGUAAAUAAGAUCAUGUUUGUGUCAAAUGGUUUUUUGCUAAUUAUGUGUGGACUUGUAUUAAAUCUUUGCUCGAGUAAUUCUCAUGCAGCAUGAACUUUGUGUGAAUUUUGUCCAGUUUCUACCUCUUUUUUUUUUUUUUUUUCUCUCUCACUUCUGUUUUAUUUUUUCUGUGUGUGAAUAAAUAUCAGCAGCUAGUACAAAUAAAAUUUGAUUUUAUUUGUAAGACCAGGACCUGUCUUCAAAGUUAAUGACAUUCUUGAAUCACUUGGGAUCCACUUGCAAAUCUAUUUUGGAGAAAAGUUUUCUCCCCAACCUUAAUCAGUAAUGCAUCAAGAUUCUCUCCUUAUUCUUUCUUUUUUCCUUUAGUCUCUAUUUUUGUAAAUUUAGAUAAAAAUUAACUUAAUAGUAAAUAAAAUGAAAGAAACUGGUUUAAUUGUUAAUAUCAGAAUUUAAAAUUUAUUUUUGAUUUUUUUUAAUGAUAGUGAUCGUUUAGUUAAUAAGGAGCGAUUAAGAGUAAAUAAAUAAAUAAAUGAGAAAGGUUCUUGUCUGUCAGUAAUGUGGCAAUUUACAGAAAGGUCCUUGAUGAUGUCCGGUUAAAAUUUAAUUAAAUUAGUAAAUUGGAGAAUUAAUUAAUUUUUUCACAUAUUACAUUAAAGUGGAGUCUCCUUGCCAGCGAAGGAGAUGCCUUUUCCAAAGCAAGAAAUGAAAACUCAAAAAGCACACUUCAAAACUUGUGCAAGAAGGAGAUGUAUUGAUAUUUGAUACAUGCUUUCUUUUUCUUUGUGUAUAUAUAUACCCACGUCUGAUGAUCAGCUGAACCAACAGCCAACACUAGGAAGCAAUUUUAAAACUUUUGGUUAGUAUUGCUAUUUAAAUCUUAUGAAUUUUUGUUCAAUUUAUUAUAUUUUCACUACAGCUUUGUUUCAGGGUACUUGUCAUGUGAAUUUCUUUGAUGAUUUUGGUGGGUUCUUUUUAGCUUUUGUUUCACUGUUUCCACUGGUUAGCUUAGCUACUGUCUACUGAGAUAAAAUCAUUUGCUAGAAUAACUUAAAUCUUUUGCUAUUUUGUUAUAUUCAUAUUAUACAGAAUUAAUUCAUUGUAUCAAAUGUUAUAAUAAAUGAUGCUUGUGUAAUUUCAUUUAGUUUUUUUGUCCUUCUUUCAUAAUUCGCCUGUACAGUAUCUUUAACUUUUUUUUUCCUUUUUCCAAAUUUCUUUUAUUGUAGAGAAUGUUUGUUUUAGUUCUGAUCUUGCGUUACUGAAACGUUUCACUCAUUUUUCCGAAGCACUUUGGUUGCUAGUUUAUCGGGCAGUACUGCGAUAGUGAUUUCAAUUUACAAAAUUCUGUAAAUACUUAUUAUUCUUAGUGUGGUUGAAGGUAGUGUGAAGUUAAUAUUAUCACAAUGGCUUACAUUCCACCACAUUUGAGGAGUUCGAAGGACCCCCAGAGGCCUUCUCCAGUUCCGGAUAUGCUUUAGCCUAAAUUCAAUAGAAAAUUAAACUUGGGAUCAUCCAAGCAUGACGCAGGCGUGAGUUCAAAUUGCAUUGAGUAUGCAGAUCAUGCCGUACACAGAUUGUUUGUCUGUGGCUUGGAUAAUAAUAACAGCAUUUCUUCUGACCAUUUUGAGGAGUCGCCAGAGGAGGCUGAUGUGCAUGAAAGACCAGUGACCAUUAAUCUGGCUAGAGGUUAGUGGUUUGCAUUUUUAAAUCUAUCUUAGAUAUGUUUCUAAUUUCGUUCUUGAUUUAUGUCGGGUGUUAACUUUAGUUAUGUUGACAUUUGGAUUUUUGGGUUGGUAGGUAAUGAUAAAGCGUGUGCAAAUAUAUCAAGAGGCCCAUGGGAAUCGAUAGCAGAAAAUGUAUGGCCAGAUGUAUUGAGUGCUUAUAACUUUGUCAAGAACGAAAUGAAGGAAAAGCCAACAAUGGUUGCUAGAUUUGGCAAACUUGUUUUCAAGGAGUAUGUGAUCUGGUUCCAUUGCCGUUACCGCUUGAAUGUUUUGAGUUAGAUCAUUCCUUUGCUUUCUUUUGACUUUGAAAUCAAAGCAACGAAAAUGCAUAUUCAUACUAAAAUCUGACAGAAAUCUCGUGGUGAUAAAAAGUACUGGCAGCUAAAAUUACGAACUUUACCAUUAACCCUAGCGCCAUCAAUGUAUGACUAUAAAUCGACUCUCCAAACCAGGGGCACAAGUUGCCAUUGCUUGUAAAAGCCAAAGAGGAAAAGAUUUAUAAAAUAAAUAAAUAAAUAAAGGAAAAAGAAAAUGGUAAGAUUAAGGAUUUAUAGUACAUGCACUUUUUUCAGAUUUGUUGUAUCUCAUGGAAGCUUCCAUGGCAUCUAGAAUUUGGCUUUGGCUUUGGCUUUGGCUUUGUGUAGGCACAUUUCAGUAGUUGCUGCUGGAAACAAAUGUAUCCAUUGUCUUAGUACUGCUACAUUUCUGGUAUGAGAAACAAAUCAAUCUUCUACCACGGCCAAGUUUUAUUGUUUGAUAUUUCAUUGGGAUAACAAACUGUACCAUUGCUUGGCCUAUUUCUUACAAUAAAAAUGAUGCAAUUGUAUCACAUAUUUCCUUUCUUAUGUCACAUCUUUGGAACCUGCAUUAGUUUUCUUAUCAAAAGUGCCUCAAAGAAAUAAUUAUUAUAUCAUUCAUCUUGAUGCAGGAACGAUUUACCGAGCUUCAUAAGUGCAAGAGAACAUCAAGUUGCUGAAACGGCUUUGAAGUCAAUGAGGAGGCACCUUUACCCAGGUGUCCCUGCUGUACACAUGGAAAAAAUUGUGCAUGAAGUUGUGCCAAAAAUUGGAGUUGAUUUUGUAGAGUACAAGGAUAUAUACCACGUAAAGGUAGUUACUUCAGGUAAAAAGCUUGAGCUCUAUAAGGCAAGUUUUCUGCGUUUGGCUAACUGUUAUUUAUGGACGAUGGGUUGAAUCUUGUGUGUGCUGCCUGUAUUUUAAGGGGACUUUUGCUAGUUCAAACAUUGCAACAAGACUUCUGAUGUUUUGAAUUGAAUAGACGAGAGUUUAAAUAUAAUCUUUUCACUGUGAAUUAUUAAAGAGGUACCAAAAUAAAAGCGAUAAACAUUAAGAAUGAGACGAAACCUUUGUGCCUCCCUAAGACUUUUUAGGAGUCUCUCCAGGAAUAAUCUCAAUUUUAAGGAAAGAAUUUGAAAUGAAGAAGAAAAUUCUCUAGGAGUAAGACUAGUUCUACUUCUGAUUGAGAAGAGGCUUGUUAAUUCGAUAAGGAAAGAUCUAGUUACUAUUACAAACCAAUUAAAAUUUGAAUUAAGUUAUCAGUUAACUCGUAAUUGAAUGUCUAAACCAACAAACUACAUAUAAUGUAACAGUUGCGAAUAUAAAAUUACAAAAAUACUGCCGAUUAUAGACCAAAUUGAAUAUGCCAAUCUUUAGGAAUUCUUUUCAGCAUCAUGGGAUUUAGAUUUCAAUAAUCAUUUUUAUUUGAGUAUGGUGACAUCCGGAAGACCAGAACUAUCAAGUAUCUGAUGGUAGUCAUUUUUAUUAUUAUUUAUUUAUCUAUUGUUGUUUUGCGUCUCUUCUUGAAUAUGAACAUUUUUUCUUGUAGGUCGAACUAAACCAAGUUCGUCACAUGGUAGCUGAUAUUGUAUGUUUUGAUGAAAAUCUAGACCUGAGGUUGGCACUAUAUACAAAGAGUACCUUAUUUGCUCCCUCUAUAAGCUGCUCAUUGUGCUUGUUUUACCUAGACUUUUAAGUUACCCCUUCAUUUUUUCCCUUUUUAUUUAAUUUGGUUAUUGCUUAUUAGAAUCCUCAACGUUACAGAUGCUGAGGAAGAAAAAUUCAAGACCAGGGAAAUAUGGAAAUCUUAAACUUAUAGCUGUUUUUUAACAUCAAAAGUUUACUUUCGAAGGGUUGGGAAAAACAAAUAUAGGACUAGCUUAAAAUGGUUAAACUUUAGUCAUGCAUUGCCCUUUUAUUGAAAUCAGAAACCUUACAAAUGUUAAAAAUAGAAUAAUAAAUAAAUCAUUAGAUUUUCAAAAUAAGUUACCAUCAUGUAGAAUUAAAACAAAAGUUAAAUAUAAGGUUUUUCUUGUCAUUGGGCGGUGUGUGUCUGUGUUCUCAAUCUAUUGUGAGGAAUGUAUUUUAUAUUGCUGAAACGAAUCUCGAGUUAUAAGCCAAGAAUAUGUAUUUAUCAUAUCUUAUAUUUUCUGUGUAGUCCCAGCAAAUGAAUUGUACUUUCAAACUGAAAUUUUAAAAUUUUCAGGAUGAUGAAAUGAACAGCAUUAGAAUUCUGAUUAAUUCAGCCAUCCUGAAUCCAAAGGUAAAGGGUGGGUUAAGAUGGCCCAUAGGGAAGUCGUAUUCCGGGAAUUAUAGAGUUGUUGGGGUUUGUUAAAUCAUAUAAAAGCCCAUCACUAAAGGUCAAGGUAAGAAAUGUUGAUCGAUUUCGUUUCAAGAGUGGAAAUGGGAAAGCUAUAAUCGGGAUUAAUCUAAAGUUCAGAAGAAUAGUUUCGGAGAUUCAGGUAUUUGCUGCUUUUUGCUUUAACUUUAUCACAUAACCUGCUAUCUUUGUGUAUGAUUAUAUAGAGCUUGAAAUUCUUGCUGUUACAUCAUAAGGUUAAUGCAUAUAUCUUCAUACAUUUCUUAUUGAAGUUUUAUUUUGAGCUGUAAUUAUAAUUUUCAAUUUUUACUAUUUGAUGGGCAUUUUCUUGUCGAUUGCUUUACCCCAAAAAAAAAAAAAAAAUGUUUGACCUACAGUAUUUUUAACAGUGAAAUAGCAAGAUUCUAAUGUAUAAUUUUCAUGAACUCGUUUUAGUUGUUAUACAGUUGUCCCUCUCUGUUACUUAUUUAUUCUGUCGUAAGUAACAAAUGAUUUUUUAGCUAUUGCCUAACUUGGAGUAAAUUUUAUUUCAAAACUGAGCUUCCAGCUUAUGACUUAGAAGUCUUCUACGUGUGUCUUGCACUUUGGUUUUACAAUCACCAUUGGAAGAGUGGCUAGCGUUUGUUAAUUGCUUCAAUCCCAGGAGCAGAGUUUUGAAACAUAAAUACGUUUCAUGAUUGUUAUUGCUCACUAUUUCCCAUGGCUUUGUCCCCAUGCAGCCAUGCUUAUACAAAAUUAGUUUUGUAUUUGAUAUCUUUCAUCUUUCAUUAAGAUGUUCUUAUUACUUUUCUCUUUUAAUCAUCAGGACGGGGAGAUUGAUACUGAUUCCAUCUACAAUGGGUUUAAGGACAACUUGAGGUUAAUAUGGGACCAUUUCUUGUCAUGGGAAUAUUGAUACUGAUUCCAGCUACGGUGGGUUUUAAAGACAACUUGAGGUUAAUAUGGGAUCAUUUCUUCUCAUGCGAGCAACUUUUGACACAGCUCUUCUUCUUCUUCGUUCGUAUUUGCAUGUGUGUGCAUCAUGUACUUAUUGCUAUUGAAAGAUGUAAAUGCAAGAAUAAGAUCAGCUUCAUAUUGAAUGGUGCUAAAAUGUACAGACUUGUGUUAAGUAAAUGCUUGAGUUCCUCAAUUCUCAUUCUGACCCAGUUUUUACCUCAAUUUUUUUAAUUUCCUGUGUAAUAGUUGUAUUUGGUCUAAGCUUGGCAGCUCCUGUGUAAAGUGCUUUAUAUUUUUUUAUGUGUGGAAUGUAUAUCAACAGCCUGUAACAAUAGAUUUUGAUUUUAUUUCUAAGAUAUGUCUUUCAAAAUUAAUCUGGUGAUAUACUUGAAUCACUUGAGAUCCACCUGCAAAUGUACAUUGGGGAAAAGUUUUCUCCCUGCCUUUUAUGUAAUCACAGCCACUAAUAAUAUGGUAAUUUGUUAAAAGGUCCUUGACAUCUGGUUAAAAUUUAUUUCAAUCAGUAAACUCAUCCAAACGGUCUCACCUGGCUGGAAUAUUUAUUUUGAAUGUGUUUUUUUUCAAGAUUUAAUCAGUAUUUUACUUAUUAGUGCUUCUUCUUUUUUUUCUUUUCCCCUUUUCCUGUACUUUUAUGCUGCGUUUACUUUUUGGAUUAGAGUGGGAAUCCUGAGGAGUGGGAAUCCUUGGAUUAGGAGUGUGGAGUGGGAGUGGGAGUAGGGUGUUUACUUAGACUAAAUGAAAGUAUGGAUUGUCAAUCAGAAUCCUAAUUUUUUGUUUACUUUGUCUUGGAUUGGGAGUAAAUUGUUUUAAAUUAUAAUUUUAUCCUUAUGUACAGAAUUAUAAUUUGUAAUUAAAAAAUUAAUAAAAAAUAUAUUUGGAAAAUAAAAUAAAUAUUUUAUUAUAUUUAUAAAUUAAUAAUAAUUACUAAUAUUCUUAAUUAUGUAAAUCAUAAUUUUUUAUUAAUUUUAAUUUAAAUUAUGUGAAUAAAAAUUAUUAAUAAUAGCAACACAUGAAAUAUUAUUAUUGAUAAUAUAGUACAAAAUUAAUAUUUUUUUAGAAUAAAAUAUUUAUUAUUAUUAAUUAAAUAAUUAAUUAAUAUUUAUUAAAAUUAAUGUUUAAUAUUAUUAAUUUAAAUAUAAUUUUUAUUUUUAUUUUAUUAAAUUUAAUAAAAUAAAUAUGAUAUAAUUAUUAUUUUUAAUAAAUAUGAUAUUAUUUAUUUUAUUAAAUAUGAUAUUAUUUAUUUUAUUAAAUAUUAUUUAUUUAUUUAUUUAUUUUUAUAAGGAUAAAAUGGGAAGAGGGGGGAGUGGAUUCCCACUCCCACCUCCCCCCAUGGGAGUGGGAAUCCCACUCCCCACUCCAAAAUUGAGUGGGACCCACGGAUUCCCACUCCCACUCCUCCCUUUUUUAAGGCAAGUAAACACUGGAGUGGGAGGAAUCCACACUCCACACUCCCACUCCAGAAAGUAAACACUACCUUAAACCGUUGGUUAGAAGGCAAACAUUUCACAUUAAAGUGGAGUCUUCUUGAUGCUACAAUGUCAUUCGUAGUCUCUUUCGAGUUUUCUCUUAAAACUUAAAAGAUGAGAGGUUAGAAUAGAAUUUUCAUGACUCUCGCAGGUCAUUCCUAAAUGAGUGGUUCUCUAGUUAGAUAUCGAGUAGUGCUGUAGUUGUGUUAAGAUAGAGCUUCUCCAGUAAGGGUAGACAGACCUUAAAGAUUGUAGUUGGGAGUUAGGUCACCAACCAAAAAAGGUUCUUGUGAGCAGUUACUCUUACCAGAUGGAAACAGAAGAGUUAAUUAAAAGGUACAGAGCUAUAAGGUUGAGUGAUGAGGAAGAGGGGAGGGUUACCUUCAUGAGCAAAAUGAAAGCAAAGGGGGAAAGAAUAGUUGCUGGCUGUUUGAUAGGAAAAGUUCUCAAUACAAGGGGAGUGAAUAGUGAAGGAUUGAAGAUGGCUAUGCAAAGAGUAUGGAAAACAUCAAGGGAAGUGAAGAUAGACAGCCUCGGAGACAAUGUGUUCAUGUUCAAAUUCGGCUCAGAGGUAGAUAAGAGAAGCAUAAUGGCUGGGGGGCCAUGGCAUUUUGAUAGAGCUCUUAUGGAGCUUACAGAACCAGUCGGGAUAGGGGAUGUGAAAAAGUAAGAUUUUAGACAUGUAUCCUUUUGAGUACAAAUUCAUGACGUUCCUAUUAUGUGCAUGACAAAGAAGAUGGCAACAGUCUUGGGCGAGGUGGUUGGGAAGGUAGAGGAAGGAGAAACUGACGCGACAGGGGAGUGUAUUGAACAAUUCUUAAGAAUGAGAAUUUCAGUGGAUGUUACUAAACCGUUGAAAAAGAUCAUCGAGCUAGAACAAGAAGGGGAAGAUGAUGAAGAUAUCCUUAUGCGUGUAAUGUAUGAACGACUGCUGGAUUUUUGCUUUUGUUGCGAGCGUAUAGGGCACCAAUACAGAGAAUGUGCCCAUUACAAAUCUCAGUCCAAGGAUGAAAAUGGCUUACGGUCCAUGGCUAAAAGCAAUUACCAUUACGGAAAGACUAAAACAGAGCAGAAUGAAGGAUAAGUGGGAUUCACAACCCAACAAUUCACAUACAAAUUUUGCAACCCCAACUAAAAUUACAAAGAACCAAGGUACGGCAGAAACAGAACAAGGUAGAAAGGGAGAUCUGGGCAAUGAAGAUGGAUCCAGUAGACAUCUUUCAGACCCGGGUAUGGAUAGUACAACUGGAGCUAUGGGUAAGCUACAGAAGGUAGUUGGGACACAAUUAAUGCUUAGGGAUACAGACUAUAUGGAGCCAAUAGGUAGAGGGAGUGAAAAUGAAAAAGUUGAUGGCAAAGACACAGAGCAUUGGGAUAUGGGAAAUAGAGCAAAAGCUAUGGGCGGGAAAAGAGAAGAGAGGGAAAUAAUUGUGCAAGAUGGAAAUGCUGAAAAAACAAAAUCCCUCGAUACAAGCAAUGCGGGAAUUUUUAAGGGGGGAGUAACAGAAACAAAGGGGAACACAGCUGGAAUGGGCAGUCAACAAAAACAAAAUGAGAGCCCAGUCCAACUUGAAUCGAAAAUGGAGAAAAUUGAUGAUGGACCAGGGAGAGAUAAAAGCAAGCCCAAGAAAAAGAAAUGGAAGCUUCAAGCUCGCAAUGUGGAAGUAAAUGCGGGAACAAACGAAAGGCUCAUUAAAUUAAAAAGGCCUGGUUGCUCUAUGGAGUGGGAGAGUCCAAAAACGAAGAGAAACAAAACAAACAACCCAAAAAAGAAUGGUUACUCACCACGAGACCAAAAAAAGAAAGCUGCAGCAACUAAACUGAUUUUCGAAAAUGAGUUUGGGGAAGUCAGCGAGAAGAUUCAGAAUGUGAUUAAUGGGAUAUCGGCAGAGGCUGCAAGACAGCUCCGCCAAGAGCAAUGAAAGUGUUAAGCUGGAACGUUCGGGGGUUGGGGAAAGGCCGAACGUUCUGAGAAGCCCAGCUACUUUUACAGGAGCAUAAGCCUCAACUCUUAUUUUUCUGUGAAACAAAUAUGACAGUUAGACAAAUGCAAGAAAAGGCAUACAAAUUACACUUUCAAAAUUGUUUUGCGGUUAGUAGAGAAGGACUGGGAGGAGGGUUGCCAAUGAUGUGGAAUCCGGAGAUAAUGGUGGACAUUAAAUCCUACAGCAAGCACCAUGUUGAUGCAGUGGUUCAUAGCGAAAAUGAGAGCUAUUGGAGAUGCACAUGAAUCUAUGGCCAUUUAGAAACAGACCAGAAAAAGCAUAUUUGGGAGCUUUUAAGGAGGUUAACUAAUUUAUCUUCUCUACCAUGGCUUUGUUUCGGGGAUUUCAAUGAAGUGUUGAAUUUAAAUGAGAAAAUAGGGGGAAAAGAUAGGAGGGCAGAACUGGUGAAUAAUUUUCAAGAAGCCAUUAGGGAUAGUGAUCUGGAGGAUUUAGGAAGUAACGGGUACCCUUUCACUUGGUCAAAUAAAUGAUUCGGACCUCACAUAAUCGAAGAGAGGCUCGACAGAUUUUUGUGCAACAGCAAUUGGAGAAGUUGUUUCCAAGAGAAGGCAGUCCAAAAUUUGAUCUCGUGGAGCUUAGUUCACAACGCUAUCCUGAUGGAGGUGACAUAAAAAGGAAAAGACAGUAGAUACACGAAGAAAGCUUUUCAAAGGGUCUACUAUGAAGACAUGUGGAGUCCAUAUGAGAAGUGCAAGGAAAUAAUUAAAAAGGAGUGGAUGGAAUCGUGCUGCUGGAACAGUGGAAACCCAGUUGAAUUGUUUAAGAAGAAGUCAAAAUCAUCUUUGGCAAAACUAAAAAUGUGGAGUAGAAACGAACUGGAAGGAAGAAGUAGGAAGUUGGAGCAGCUACGCAACAAAUUGAAUGAGUUAAAGAACGGAUACAGUCAUUUCGAUGAUGGAACUGAAGUUCGAACAAUUGAAAACCAGAUUGACAACAUCCUUUUAGAUGAAGAGAUUUUUUGGAAACAAAGAUCAAGAGCUGAUUGGCUGAAGGAGGGGGACAAAAAUACAAGAUUCUUUCACUUAAAAGCUUCAGUGAGGAGAAAAAAGAAUAGAAUUUGUGGCCUAGAAGAUGAGAAAGGAAUUUGGGUUGAGGAAGCAGAAAAUGUGGAGCAGGUGAUAGGAGAGCAUUUCACAAAAAUGUUCACCACAACAAAUCCUUCUUCGACUCAAAUAAGUGUUGUUCUAUCUGAGCUGCUAGUCAAGAUUACGGAAGAAAUGGCAAGUUACCUGGAGCAACCUUUUACAGCGGAAGAAAUAGCAGAUGCGCUAGCUCAAAUGUGUCCAACGAAAGCUCCUAGCCCGGACGGAUUUCCAGCAGCUUUCUAUCAAAAACACUGGAGUUCAGUGAAGGAAGUGGUUGUUAAGACAUGCCUACACAUCUUGAAUGAGGGAGGUUAUCUCGCGCCUAUCAAUCAUACUUACAUUGCACUGAUUCCAAAGGUACAGAAGCCUAGGAAAGCAAAUGAGUUUAGACCAAUUAGCCUAUGUAAUGUUAUAUAUAGAAUUAUUGCAAAAACAAUGGCUAAUAGGCUGAAGCAUAUCUUGAAUGAUAUUAUAUCCCCCACCCAAGGUGCAUUUGUUCCCAAUCGACUCAUUACUGACAAUAUUAUCAUAGGGUAUGAGUGCUUGAAUAAGAUUAGACAAAGUAGGAGCAAAAGAAAAGGCUUAGCAGCUCUGAAAUUAGAUAUCAGUAAAGCAUAUGACAGAGUUGAGUGGAGUUUUGUUAAAUGUACCAUGCAAAAACUGGGCUUUUCUGAAAAAUGGGUGAAUCUAGUAAUGAACUGCAUUUCGACAACAAGCUUUUAUGUGUUAAUUAAUGGAGUGGCAAAAGGUCUCAUCCACCCUCAAAGAGGAUUGAGACAAGGAUGCCCUCUUUCCCCUUACAUUUUUAUAAUGUGUGCAGAAGUGUUUUCAAAUUUGUUGAAGCAUGCAGAAAGUCAGAGCUUGAUACACGGCCUGAGAUUCAGCAGAAGUUUAUCAAUCACUCACCUCUUUUUUGCUGACGAUAGUCUGGUUUUUUCAAAGGCUUCCCCUAUUGAGUGCAAAAAGUUGAAGGGAAUUUUUGAUGAUUAUGUAGUCGCCUCUGGACAAGUGUUUAAUUAUGACAAGUCAUCUAUGUUUUUCAGUUCUAACACAAACCAAAGUCAAGUGGAGGAAAUCAAGAACAUAUUUGGGCUGAAUAUUGUCUCUAAGCAUGAGAAGUACUUGGGUUUACCAUCCAUGGUGGGAAGAAAGAAAAUCAGCUUCUUUAAUGAAAUUAAGCUGAGAGUGUUAAAUAAGCUGUCAAGUUGGCAAAACCAGGAGAUUUUCUUGUGGAGGGAAGGAGGUCCUUAUCAAAGCUGUGGCGCAAGCGGUUUCAGCAUUUGCAAUGAGUGUGUUCAAAAUUCCUCAAGGCCUCUGUGAUGAUAUUGAAAGGGCUAUAGCGAGAUUUUGGUGGGGAUCCUCGGAAACUCAGAGGAGUAUACACUGGGCAAGGUGGGAAAAGCUGUGUAGUGCAAAAACAAGUGGUGGGUUGGGUUUUAGAGAAUUUUCGAGCUUCAACCAAGCUUUGAUUGCGAAACAAUGGUGGAGGGUUCUGCACAAUCUAGACUCUUUAAUGGCUAAAAUUCUCAAAGCCAAAUAUUUCAAGUACACUAAUUUUAUGGAGGCUAAACUGGGGUCAAAUCCCUCUUUUGUUUGGAGAAGUAUUUUAUGGGGUAGACAAUUGCUUCAUGAGGGUUUAAGGUGGAGAGUAGGCAAUGGGCAUAAAAUUUCAGUGUUCAGUAGGAACUGGAUGAAGAAAGGUGAGUUUCAUAACCCGACAUCUAUAGCAAGGUUAUCUAAUGAUGUUGUUGUCGCUGAUUUCAUUGAUGAAAAAAACCAAUGGAAGCAAGAGAUGGUUGCUCAAUAUUUCCCGAAGGAGAUCACAGAGAGAAUUCUAAAGAUUCCCCUUCCAAAAACCCCCUAGGAAGAUGUUAUGAUCUGGAGUUAUCAUAAGCAUGGUGCUUAUUCAGUGAAAAGUGGUUAUCAGUUAGCAGUCAAGCUCAAAUAUCCAGACACACCAGGCUGUUCAGAUGCCACCAAAUCAAAGUGGAAAGAUAUUUGGGCUAAUGUGAUCCCUAAAAAAAUUAAGAUUUUUAUGUGGCGAGCUGCCCAUAACUUGUUGCCAACCAUAGACAACCUCUGGAAGAAAAAAGUGGUGAUGGAUUCUGUUUGCCGGAUAUGCCAUAGCAACAGGGAAGAUGUCUUUCAUGCAUUGGUGGGAUGCAGAGCUGCUAGGAAGGUGUGGAAGUUGACAGAAUUUUAUGAGGAUAUAAAGAUAUUGGCUCACCAGGAUAUGCUGAGUGUUCUUCAAGAAUUAGCCGGGAAGAGGAAAAUAGAUGAUUUGGGGCUGAUAAUUGCAACUUGUUGGGCUAUAUGGUAUGCAAGAAAUAGAAUGGUAAAUGAAGGUAAGCAAGAAGAUCCCCAAAUAACAGCAGCCCGGGCUGCAGCAACUGUAGAGUCGUACUUGAGAAUUAAGUGUCCAAAUGUCCAAGUUGUUCGAAGUCAGCACAACAAUAAUCAACAGGUGUGGAAUCCCCCUCCAAUUGGUUGGUAUAAAGUGAAUGUGGAUGCAGCAAUUCAAAUGGCAAAUUCGAAGGCUGGGCUAGGUAUAGUGAUUAGAGAUUCAAGCGGGAAAAUUUUGGCUGCAACAGUUCAGAGCACUGGAUUCAGAGGAGAUGUGGCUUGUAUGGAAGCGGAAGCUGUGUUGUUUGGAAUUCAAGUUGCCUGCCAAGCAAAAUGUGAUCCAAUCAUUAUAGAGUCAGAUUCUUUAGAAGUGGUGGAGCUAUCACUGCAAAAGAAGAGCAGCAUGGCAGAAAUUUGUUGGGCAGUGGAAGAGAUACAAGCAUGUCUAAAGAACCAGAGCAGAGCAUCAAUUCAAUUCGUUCCUAGAAACUGUAAUGUAGUAGCUCACUCAUUGGCAAAAGUAGCCUUAGAUUUUAAAAGUCUUGUAGUUUGGAUUGAGGACUUUCCAGUUCCAAUCAUGUUGUUACUGUCAAAGUUUGUUUAAUUAGAAAGCUUUACUUUCGCUUCCAAAAAAAAAAAAAAAAAAGUGGAGUCUUCUUGCGACUAAAGGAGAUGCCUUUCCUAAAGCAAGAAAAGAAAACUUAAAGCCCUCUUCAAAACUUGUGCAUGAAGGAUAUGUAAUUGACGUACGCAGAUAUGCUGCCUUAUUAUAUAUAUAUAUAUAACCCAUAUAAGUCUAAAUAUCCGCUGAGCUCCUGACCCAACAGCCAGCCAACACUAGGAAGCAAUUUUAAAAAUUUUGGUUAGUUCUAUUCUUUAUUUAUUUUGAAUUUUUGUUCAAUUUAUUAUAUUUUCACUUCAGUUUUACUUCAGGAUACUCGUUAUGUGCAUUUCUUUGAUGAUUUUGGUGGGUUCUUUUAAGCUCAUAUUUUACUGUUUCCACUGGUUAGUUCAGCUUCUUCUACUGAGAUAAAAUUAUUUGCUUCAAUAACUUAAUCGUUUGUGAUAUUAUUAUGUGAUUGUAUAUAGAGUUAUUUCAUUGUAUCAAAUGUUAUCAUAAAUGAUGCAUGAGUAAUUUCAUUUAAUUUUCUUUCUUUCUUUCAUAAUUGACCAGUAGGAUUUCUUUUCCUUUUUUUCUUUUUUUUUUCUAAAAUAAAAUAAGGGUUCUCUUUGUCUGGAGAAUGUUUGUUUUAGUUUUGAUCUUGGGUUACUGAAACGUUUCAGCAUUUUUCCCAAGUAUUGUUAUUGCUUGUUUAUCAGACCACAUUGAUAUAGUGAUUUCAUUUCAUAAAUUUUCGUAAGUAGUUAUUAGAAAAAUUAUCCAUCGAUCACUUUUUCUUUUAAAUAUAUAUAUUUUCAUUUUCUUUUAUUUAUUUUCACUUGAAAUUAUAUUUUUUUUAUCCGCUUAUUUCCGUCUCCACACAAUUAUAAUUUUGUUAAUGUCGCAGGGGCCAAUUUGUCAUUUAACCUGAACAACAAAAGCAACAAUGUCGUUUAAACAAGACCCAAAAAAAAAAAAAAAGGAAAAGCGGUCGAGAGCAGAGCAAACCACAAGAACGGCCAUUGUUUAUAAUAACAAUAAGAAGAAGCUUCUGCUGCCGCCACUGUUAGUUGAACGACUGACUAGACCACCAGCGUUGGCAGGAAGCUGCGGGCGAAGUCGUUGACGAAGUUAUAUUUUUGCGCAAACACACUGCCGUUUCAAAUCGCUCGGCACUCACAGUUCAUCCAAUCGGUACAGUUUACAUACUUUAGUUAAUUUCUUUUUCUUAAUAUUAAUAAUUUACUUUAAUCAUUUAUUCUUUAUUAUUUGGCAGGAGUACCUCAUUUGCGUGAAGGAGAGCCGCUGCACUAGGUGGAGCCCAGGCUGGGACGCACCGCGUAACCCUAGGAUUGGCCCGUGGCUAAGCCUCUUAAAGAAAAUUGCUCUCUCUCAUAAUUUAGUUCCUGAAUUUGAGGUAUAAUUAACUUUUAUUCACUAUUUAAAAAAAAUGGAAUAUUUUUAUUUUCUUUUAGUUAUGUGAAGUUGCUUUUUUUUUUUUUUUUUUUUUACAUGAAUUUAGAUUACAUUGGUGGGUACUCAUCAUGGACCCGUGACGAAUAGAUGAAUCUUUUGCUAAAACUAUACUGAUUAUGAUCCUUGGAGAGAAAUGAAGAAGAUAUAAGAUAACAUGGCAUGGCCAUUAUAUUCAAUUAUCUCAUAAGUAUGUUGCUUCCACUUCGAAUAUUAAAUCCGAAUUUCUUUUUUCAAAUUUGAUUUUUUUUUGGCAUUUAUAUAAGGUAAAAUUGUAAUUUUACAUUUGGGGGGAAAAAAAAUCAUUUAUCUGAUUUUCCGCUAGUUCUCUUAACAGUGUGCAGACGGGAGUGGACAGGUGCAAGAAAAUGUAGUUUUAGGUAGAAAUCAGCCAAAAAAUCAAAGACAUGUGUAUGUUUGAAAAAACAGAAAAAAAAAAAAAAAAACAGGUGGUCAGUGGAUAAUUUCCCUACUUAUUAUUCCUAGCGUGGUUUAAGGUAGUGUCAAGUUAAUAUUAUCAUAAUGGCUUACAUUCCACCCCAAAAGCGGCAUUCGAAGGGCCCCAAGAGGCCAACUCCAGUUCCGGAAAUGCUUGUGCCUGAAUUCAACAGAAAAUUAAACUUGGGAUCACGCAAGCAUAAGGCAGGCAUGAAAGUAAAUUACGUCGAGUAUGCAGACCAUGCCGUACAAAGAUGGUUUGUUUGUGGGUUGGAUAGUAAUAGUAGCUUUCCUUCUGUCCAUUUUGAGGACUUUCCAGAGGAGUCUGUUGAGCAUAAAAGAGGAGCUAAGCCCUUAGUUUUAGUGACCAAUAAUCUGGCUAAAGGUUAGUGGUCUGCAUUUUUAAUUUAUCUUAAUAUGUUCUACUUUCGUUCUUGAUUUAUGUCUGGUGUUAAUUUAUCUAUUGGGAGGAAUGUACAUUUUCAUUUCAUAUUCCUGAAAACAAUUUUGAGUUGUAAGCGGUCCCUGCAAAUGAAUUCUAUGAUCAAACUGAAAUUUUAAAAUUUUCAGGAUGACGAAAUGAACUGCAUUAGAAACCUGAUAAAUUCGGCCAUUCUGGAUCCGGAAGUAAAGGGUGGGUUAAGAUGGCCCAUGGGGAAGUCAUAUUCUGGGCAAAGAUACAGAGUUUUUGGGGUUUGGCACACCGAAUUUAAAUCAUAUAAAAGCCCAUCACUAAAGCUCAAGGUAAGAAAUGCUGAUCGAUUUGAUUUCAAGACUGCAACUGGGGAAGCUACAAUUGAGAUUAAUCUGAAGUUGCGAAGAAUAGUUUCAGAGAUUCAGGUAUUUGCUGCUUUUUGCUUCAACUUUUAUCACUUAACCUGCUAUCCUUGUAUAUGAUUACAUAGUGCUUGAAAUUCUCUCUGUUCCAUCAUAAUGUUAAUGCAUAUUUUAUCUUCACACUUUACUGUAAUUUUCUAUUUUUACUAUUAGAUGCUGGAAAGAGGGUCUUUUUUUUUUGUUGUUUGGGGGGUGGGGGUGGGUUGGGGGAAGAUUGCCAUACAAAAGAAGUUUGUCGGGGAAGAUUUUAUUGAUGAGAUGAGAUAGCAAGUUUAUCCAUUUACUUUAAUGAGUCCGAUCUAGUCACACGUGGUGGAUGUUCAUUGGCAGAGCUGCGGGCCCCACAACACAGCUCCACGAAUGACAAAUUGCCACGGACGCGCACAGGAUCGAAAUCCUAGUUGAACAUAUUAUCUGCAAGAUCCCUGUUUGGUGUUUUAUUUGCUUUGUUUCAUCUUUCAUUAACAUGCACUUAGUACUUUUUAUUUCAAUUGUCAGGAUGGGAAGAUUGAUAUUGAUUCCGUUGACAGUGGGUUUAAAGACAACCUGAGGUUAAUAUGGGAUCAUUUCUUGUCAUGCGAACAGCUUUUGACAUGAACAACAGAUUGCAAGCUCUCCCCUACUCUGGGUUGAUGUUUGCGUCUGGGUGCAUCCUGUACUUGCUGCUGUGGCAAGAUGUAAAUAAGAUGAUGUUUGUGUCAAAUGGUUUUUUGCUAAUUAUGUGUGGACUUGUAUUAAAUCUUUGCUCGAGUAAUUCUCAUUCUGAACUUCAAAUUUUGUCCACUUUCUACCUCUUUUUUUCUCUUGUGUUUUAUUUUUUCUGUUUGUGAAUAAAUAUCAACAGCGAGUACAAGUAAAAUUUGAUUUUGUUUGCAAGACGAAGACCUCUCUUUCAAAACUAAUGACAUUGCUUGAAUCACUUGGGAUCCACUUACAAAUCUAUUUUGAAGAAAAGUUUUCUCCCCCGCUUUGAUCAGCAAUGCAUUAUGAUUCUCUCCUUAAUUUUUCUUUUUUCUUUUAGUCUCAUUUUGUUUUUUAAAUUUAGAUAAAAAAUUAAUUUUACAGUAAAUAAAAUAAAGGAAACUGCUUUAAUUAUUAAUAUCAGAAUUUAAAAUUUAAUUUUGAUUUUUUUAAUGAUAGUGAUCAUUUAGUUAAUAAGGAGCGAUUGUUAAUAAGGAGCGAUUAAGAGUGAAAUAAAUAAAUGAAUGAAUAAGAAAGAUUCUUGGCUGUCAGUAAUAUGGUAAUUUAUAGAAAGGUCCUUGAUGAUGUCCGAUUAAAAUUUAAUUAAAUUAGUAAAUUGGAGAAUUAGUUAAAUUUUUCCAUAUAAAAUUAAAGUGGGGUCUCCUUGCCUGCCAGCAAAGGAAAUGCCUUUUACAAAGCAAGAAAAGAAAACUCCAAAAAGCACACUUCAAAACUUGUGCAAGAAGGAGAUAUAUUGAUACAUGCUGACUUUCUUUUUCUUUGUGUAUAUACACACACACAUCUGAUGAUCAGCUGAACCAACAGCCAACACUAGCAAGCAAUUUUAAAAUUUUUGGUUAGUAUUGUUGUUUAUAUCUUAUGAAUUUUUGUUCAAUUUAUCAUAUUUUCACCACGGCUUUGUUUCGGGGUACUUGUCAUGUGAAUUUCUUUGAUGAUUUUGGUGGGUUCUUUUUAGCUUUUGUUUCACUGUUUCCACUGGUUAGCUUAGCUCUGUCUACUGAGAUAAAAUCAUUUGCUAGAAUAACUUAAUAUUUUGCUAUUUUGUUAUAUUCAUUUUAUACAGGAUUAAUUCAUUGUAUCAAAUGUUGUAAUAAAUGAUACUUGUGUAAUUUCAUUUAGUUUUUUUUUUUUCUUUCAUAAUUGGCCUGUACGGUAUCUUUAACUUUUGUCCUUUUUCCGAAUUUCUUUUAUUUUAGAGAAUGUUUGUUUUAGUUCUGAUCUUGCAUUACUGAAACGUUUCAUUCAUUUUUCCCAAGUACUUUGGCUGCUUGUUUAUCGGGCAGUACUGCGAUAGUUAUUUCAAUUUACAAAAUUCUGUAAAUACUUAUUAUUCUUGUGUCGUUUAAGGUAGUGUGAAGUUAAUAUUAUCACGAUGGCUUACAUUCCACCACAUUUGAGGCGUUCGAAGGACCCCGAGAGGCCAUCUCCAGUUCCGGAGAUGCUUGAGCCUAUAUUCAACAGAAAAUUAAAAUUGGGAUCAUCCAAGAAUGACGCAGGCGCGUAUUCAAAUUACAUCGAGUAUGGAGACCAUGCCGUGCACAGAUUGUUUGUCUGUGGCUUGGAUAGUAAUAACAGUAUUUCUUCUGACCAUUUCGAGGAGUUUCCAGAGGAGCCUGAUGAGCAUAAAAGAUCAGUGACCAUUAAUCUGGCCAGAGGUUAGUGGUUGGCAUUUUUAGUUUUAUGUUAGAUAUGUUCUACUUUUGUUCUUGAUUUAUGUCAGGUGUUAACUUUAGUUAUGUUGACAUUUGGAUUUUUGGUUGGUAGAUAAUGAUACAGCUUGUGCGAAUACAUCAAGAAGCCCAUGGGAAUCGAUAGCAGAAAAUGUAUGGCCAGAUGUAUUGAGUGCUUGUAACAUUGUCAAGAACGAAAUGGAGGAAAAGCCAAAAAUGUGUGCUAGAUUUGGCAAUAUUCUUUUCGAUGAGUAUGUGAUCUGGUUCCAUUGCUGUUACAGCUUGAAUGUUUUGAGUUAGAUCAUUCCUUUCUUUUCUUUUUGACUUUGAAAUAUAGCAACGAAUAUGCAUAUUCACACUAAAAUCUGACAGAAAUCUUGUGGUCAUAUAAGUACUGGCAGCCAAAAUUACGAACUUUACCACUUUACCACUAACCCUAGCGCUAUCAACGGAUGACUGUAAAUCGGAUCUCCAAACCAGGGACACAAGUUAACAUUGCUUGUAAAAGCCAGAGAGGAAAAAAUUUAUUAAAAAAUAAAGGGAAAAAGAAAAUGUCUAGAUCAAUGACUUAUAGUGCAUGCACUUCUUUCAGACUUCUCGUGGAAGCUUCCAUGGCAUCUAGAAUUUGGCUUUGGCUUUAGUAGUUGCCGCUGGAAACAAAUGUAUCCAUUGUUUAGUAUUUCUACAUUUCUGGUCCAGGAAACAAAUCCAUCUGUUGCCAUGGCCAAGUUUAAUUGUUUGAUAUUUCAUUGGGACAACAAACUAUACCUUUGCUUGGCCUAUUUCUUACAAUAAAAAUGUUGCUAUAUGUAUCCCAUAUUUCCAUUCUUCUAUCACACCUUUGAAACCUCAAUUAGUUUUCUUAUCAAAAGUUGCUCAAAGAAAUAAUUAUUAUAUCAUUCAUCUUGAUGCAGGAACAAUUUACCGAGCUUAGAAAGUGCAACCGAACGUCAAGUUGCUGAAAGUGUUUUGAAGCCACUGAGGAGAUGCUUUAACACACCUGUCCCCGCUGCAUACGUGGAGAAAAUUGUGCAUGAAGUUGUGCCAAAAAUUGGGGUUGAUUUUGUAGAGUGCAAGGAUAUAUACAAUGUAAAGGUAGUUCUUCUGCUAAACAUUCACGAUCAAGUUUCUUUUAUCUCUCACUUAAUUAGCCAUUAAUUUUUUUCCCCCUUCUUGUCUAGUUGUAUGACGGCACACGACAUAUUACCUGUAAAUGUACUGUUAAAGAUGAUCAAAAGCUUGAGCUCUAUAAGGCAAGUUUUCUGCAUUUUGCUAACUGUUAUUUAUGGACAAUGGGUCGAAUCUUGUGUGUGUUGCCUGUAUUUUAAGGAGACAUUUUGCUAGUUUAAACAUUGCAACAAGACUUCUGAUGUAUUGAAUUGAAUAGUUGAGGGUUUGAAUAUAAUCUUUUCACUGUGAUUAUAAAGGAGGUACCAAAUAAACGCGAUAAUCAUUAACAGUGAGAUGAAACCUUUAUGCCUCACUAAGACCUUUUUGAAGUCUCUGCAGGAAUAAUCUCAAUUUUGAGGAAAAGAAUUUAAAAUGAAGAAGAAAAUUCUCAAUGAGUAAGGAUAUACUUCUGAUUGAGGAAGAGGCUUGUUAAUUCGAUAAGGAAAGAUCUAGUUAAUAUUAUAAACCAAUUAAAAUUUGAUUUAAGUUAGCAGUUAACUAAUAAUUGAAUGUCUAAACCAAUAAACUAUGUAUUGCAUUACAGUUGCGAAUAUAAAAUUACAAAAAUACUGCUGAUUAUGGACCUUACUGAAUAUGCCAAUGUUUAGGAGUUCCUUUCAGCAUCAUGGAAUUUAGAUUUCAGUAAUCUUUUUCAUUUGAGUAUGAUGACAUCCAGAGGACCGGAACUAUCAAGUAUCUGAUGGUAGUCAUUUUUAUUAUUUUUUAAUUAUUUAUUGUUGUUUUGUGCAGAGUCUUAUCUUGAAUAUGAACAUUUUUCUUGUAGGUCGUACUAGACCAAGUUCGUCACAUGGUAGCUGAUAUUGUAUGUUUUGAUGAAGAUCUAGACCUGAGGUUGGCACUAUAUACAAGGAGUACCUUAUCUGCCCUCUCUGUAAGUUAAUCUGCUAGUUUGCGCUUGUUUUCCCUAGACUUUUAAGUUACCCCUUCAUUUUUUUCUCUUUUUAUUUUAUUUGGUUAUUGCUCAUUAGAAUCCUCAUCGUUAGAGAUGCUGAGGAAGAAAAAUUCAAGACCAGGUAAAAUAAGGAAAUCUUAAACUUAUAUCUGUGUUUUCAUCAUCAAAAGUAAACUUUCGAAGGGUUGAGAAAACAAAUAUAUGGCAAUCAAAACGGUUAAACUUUAGUCCUGCAUUGCCCUUUCCUUGAAAUCAGAAACCUUACAUAUGUUAAAAAUAAAAUGAUAAAUAAAUCAUUAGAUUUUCAAAAUUAGUUACCAUCAAUUAGAAUUAAAAUAAAAGUUAAAUAUAAGGUUUUUCUUGUUGUUGGGGUGCGUGUGUGCUCUCAAUCUGUUGUGCGGAAUGUACAUGUUUAUUUUAUAUUGCUGAAAACAAUCUUGAGUUAUAUCUUAUAUUUUCUAUGUAGGCCUAGCAAAUGAAUUCCAUGAUGAAACUGAAAUUGUAAAAUUUGCAGGAUGAUGAAAUGAACAACAUUAGAAUUCUGAUUAAUUCAGCCAUCCCAGAUCCGAAGGUAAAGGGUGGGUUAAUAUGGCCCAUGGGCAAGUCAUAUUCCGGGAAUUACACAGUUGUUGGGGUUUGGCACCAUGAACUUAAAUCAUAUAAAAGCCCAUCACUAAAGCUCAAGGUAAUAAAUGUUGAUCGAUUUCGUUUCAAGACUGGAACUGGGGUAGCUACAAUUGAGAUUAAUCUAAAGUUCAGAAGAAUAGUUUCGGAGAUUCAGGUAUUUGCUGCUUUUUGCUUUAACUUUAUCACGUGACCUGCUAUCUUUGUGUAUGAUUAUAUAGAGCUUGAACUUCUUGCUGUUACAUCAUAAGGUUAAUGCAUAUAUCUUCACACAUUUCUUAUUGAAGUUUUAUUUUGAGCUGUAAUUAUAAUUUUCAAUUUUUACUAUUUUAUGGGUAUUUUCUUGUAGAUUGCUUUAACCCCCCCCCCCCCCAAAAAAAAAGUUUGAAUGAGAGUAUUUUUAACAGUGAAAUAGCAAGAUUCUAAUGUAUAAUCUUCAUGAACUCAUUUUAGUUGUUAUACAGUUGUCCCUCUCUGUUAGUUUAUUUAUUCUGUCGUAAGUAACAAAUGACUUUUUAGCUAUUGCCUAAAUUGGAGUAAAUGUGAUUUCAAAACUGGGCUUCCAGCUUAUGACUUAGAAGUCUUAUGUGUGUGUCUUGCACUUUGUUUUACAAUCACCAUUGGAAGAGUAGCUAGAGUUUGUUGAUUGCUUCAAUCCCAGGAGUAGUGUUUUGAAACAUAAAUAUGUGUCAUGAUUCUUAUUGCUCACUAUUUCCCGUGGCUUUGUCCCCAUGCUCAUGCAAAAUUAGUUUUGUAUCUGAUAUCUUUCAUCUUUCAUUAACAUGUUCUUAUUACUUUUUAAUCGUCAGGACGGGGAGACUGAUACUGAUUCCAUAAACAAUGGGUUUAAAGACAACUUGAGGUUAAUAUGGGACCAUUUCUUGUCAUGGGAAGAUUGAUACUGAUUCCAUCUACAGUGAGUUUUAAAGACAAGUUAUGGGAUGGUUUCUUGUCAUGCGAGCAACUAUUGACAUAAACAGCUCUCCUCCUAUUUCGUUCAUAUUUGCAUGUGUGUGCAUCAUGUGCUCGUUGCUGUUGAAAGAUGUAAGCGCAAGAAUAAGAUCACGUUCAUAUCAAAUAGUGCUAAAAUGUAUAGACUUGUGUUAAGUCGUUGCUUGAGUUCCUUAAUUCUGUUGGUUUUAAACAAAGAAAAGAGAACACAGAAAAUUGGGGCUGUUAAAAUUGCACAUGAUUCAUUGCUGCAGUAUUUGAAUUUAUACAAAGAAAAGAAACAAACAAAGCCAAAAAAUUUGCCUAAAUAUCUUUAACAUAUAUUCGAUAUCAUAAAAUUAAAAAAAAAAAAGAUUGUUCCUACAAUCUUGCAAGAUAUUAUUGACAGCAUAAUCAUAUCUUGCUAUUUUAUUUUUGUUCAAAUCCUACGGUAAAUAUAGCAUUGUCAUCACUCCUUUCUAUUUUUGUUGCAGACACCAAUGCUUUUCUUCAACAAUUCAAAUCUAGACUUUGACAGUCCCUUUUAUCAAAAUGUCAGCUAGUUGAUCUUCUGUUUUACAAUGCACAAGCCUUACUUCAUCAUUCUUUUGGACUUCUUUAACAAAAUAAUGCUUAAUUUUGAAAUGUUUUGUCUUCCCAUGGAACACUGGAUUGUUAGAAAUUGCUAUGGUAGCUUGGUUAUCAACAAAGAUUUUAGUUGCAUCAUCUUGAAUCAUUUUCAAAUCAAUCAUAAGCUUCCUUAGCCAUAAGGCUUGAUUGAAUGUAGCAGCAGCUGCAACAUACUCAGCCUCAGCAGUAGAUUGAAUUAUGAUUUCUUGCUUCUUUGAACUCCAAUAGAAACAACUUGAACCAAGACUAAACAAGUAACCUGAUGUGCUCCUUAUAUCAUCACAUGAUCUUGCCCAAUCACUAUUAGUAAAACCAUGCAAGACCAUCUUGUCUGCCUUCUCAAAUUUUAUUCCAUGAUCCAAAGUUCCCUUAAUAUACCUAAGCACUUUUAGCAGCCUUAUAGUGCAAUUCACUUGCGCAAUACAUAUACUUGGAUAGUAAACUUACAGCAAACAUUAUAUCAAGUCGUGUCGCUGUCAAAUACAUCAAGCAACCUAUAAUACUCUUAUAUAAUGCCUCAUCAACCUUUCAACACCAUCUUCUUUACUAAAUUUCUCAUUUUGAGCCAAAGGAGUACAUACUGACUUGUAAUCCUCCAUGUUGAAUUUUUUUAGCACUUCUUUAGCAUAUUUUUGCUGUCCAAUGAAGAUCCCUUACUGUAACUUUUGAAUCUCCAAACUUAGAAAGAAAGCCAUCUCUCCUAGAUCAAUCAUUUCAAAUGCUUGUAUCAUUUGAACCUUAAAUUGCUUCAUCAUUUCUUCAUUGCUUCUUGUGACAAGCAAAUCAUCAACAUAAAGUGAAACAACAAUCAAUUCAUGAUUAAUUACUUUAAUAUACAAAGUUGACUCAUUCAUGCUCUUGUUAAAGCCUGUGUUCAGCAAAUGAUCAUCAAUCCUACUGUACCAGGCUCUUGGGGCCUGCUUCCAGCCAUAUACUGCCUUUUUUAACAAAUAUAUUUUCUUCGAAUCUGUAACAAAACCCUUAGGCUGCUCAACAAAGAUUUCUUCAUCCAAAUAGCCAUUUAAAAAGGCUAAUUUUACAUCAAGUUGGUACAUUUUCCACUACUUUUGUGCUGCAAGUGCUAAAAGCAAUCUAAUGGUGUCCAGCAGUGCUACAGGUGCAAAAGUUUCAGAAAAAUCAACACCAAAUAGUUGAGUAUACCCUUUUACAACCAGCCUUGCUUUGAAUUUGUUUAUAGAACCAUCAGCAUUAAGUUUGGUUCUAUAAACUCAUUUCACACCAAUAGCCUUCUUGUAUACUGAUUUGUCCACCAACUCCCAAGUUUUAUUUUUAUGAAUCGUCUUGAUCUCAUCUUCCAUUGCUUCAAGCCGCUUUGGAUCCUUAGCAGCCUCAUCAUACCCUACCAGCAUAGCUAUAUUACAUUUUUGAUAAAUUUAUAUGAGUGGUCUAGGACCUCUUAUUGGCUCAUCAUCAAUUAUAUUAUCAUCUUACAAUUCUUGUGCUUUUUCCUUUGCAUAAACUUGUUCAAGUUCAGUUGUUGCCCAAUUCCAUCUUCCAGCUUCAUCAAAUUUAAUAUCUCUACUUACUAUGAUUCUUCCCGUCAAAGGUUGAUAAACUGUGUAACCUUUGGUGAGAUUGUUGUAUCCUACAAAACUCUAUAUUCUGUCUUUUGAUCCAACUUCUCCUUUUUUUACAUAUGGAACAAGACUAAAACACAAACAACCAAAAUUUCUCAAGUUAUAAAUAGAGGUUUUAAAACCAAACCAAGCUUCAAAAGGUUUUUUUCCCUUUAAAGCCUUUGUUGGUAACCUGUUUUGCAUA
rnacentral:lncRNA from 1 species